rnacentral:lncRNA from 1 species
CCACAGUAUAGUCAACCUCCUCCCAAGAAUGAAACAACUGGUUGCCUUGAAGGAUGGUUUGUCACAACUCCCCUUUUUCAGUCUUUAAUAUCUAUCUCCCUUUAGUUCUCUUCUUAAUCUAUUUACUUUUUCUUUAUUUUGAAAGAUAAAAAAUCAAAUGAAAUACGCGAACUAGAAUAAAAAUCCAAAUAGGAAUUUGCUAAUUAUUGCUAAUGGAAAUGUAUUGUAUGAUUGUUUUGCAGUUUAGCAGCACUUUGUUGUUGUUGUCUAUUGGAUGCUUGCUUCUAACAACGUCAGGAUCAUUGGGACUAUAUGAUCAAAGUUUAUAUAUGUACUUACAAUAUAAUGUUCCAAUGUCACAUUAUUGUAGUAUAUGACAAUCAUCACAUGUAACUUUGUUACCCUUAAUAACUUAUGUUGUUUAGAAAACAAUAUAUUCAAAUUAACUGCUUGCCUUUUUCUCUUUGUUCCCAUCUUUUCUCCUUGCUUCUAAACCUUCUUUAAACGAUGAUUAGAGCAAGUAGAUGAAUGAUUUUUAAAAAAGAAUUGUCUUAAGAGUCUAAAAAGUUUAAGAGGUUUGAUUGAUUGAUACUAAACUAUAGAAUGGUUUUAUUGAUACGACGACUCCUAAAAAAUAUAUGGCCGGAUUAGAAACUUCCAAUUCAACAAAAGAGAAAGAAAGAAAGAAAGAACAGGAAAACACAAACAUUGCAUCUCCUAAUUUGGUAGCCACUUGAAAUUUGGUUAAAACCCAUGGCAACCUACCCCUUAGUUUGAUUUUUUUUCCCCUUCUAAAACCCAUGGCAUAUAGUACUACUAACCUUCAACAGAGAGAAGAAGGACGGUGGGUGAAGAAUGAUUUCGAAGAACUCCUGCAGAUUUGGCUUCAACAAAUUAUCGGUGAAGAAGCUUUCGCAACUCAGAAUUCCUCUUGAACACGUAUUCUCUAGCAUUUUAGUUGAGAAUUAAAACCCUAAUUGUUGAUCGUUUUCUUUGUCAACACAUCAACUUGUGUUAAAUAAUUUAAUAGCAGAGACCAUUUUUAAGUUUUAUUAGAAGCAUACGUUAAAAUUGGACAAUUAAAAUUAGGGUUAAAAAAAAUAACCCAAAGACCAAGAAUAAUUAAUGAUUGUUGAAUAAAAUCAAGAGUGUGAUUGGAAUGUCUUUUAUUAUUAUUAUUAUUAAAACGAGUCUAUAAAACAAGUUGGUUUAUGAUAAGCAUUGAAAUCAAAUUUUAGAAGAAUAAAUUUGAAAUGAUUAAUACUCCUCUCAUUUACAUGAAAAAUCCAUAGGUCACAACCUUAGAUAGCCACUAACGACCAACUCCGACCACCAUCACCAUCACCAACUACUACUAACUAAUCUUUAAUUAUCUCUACUGUCAAACACAAACUAAAAUAUAACAAAAUGAACUAAAAUAUUUAUGAUUAUACAAAUUAUAUUAUCUAAAUUUUUUACUAAUCAUAUAUAUAUUUCUACACGCGUGAAUUAGUAGUUAGAGUUAAGCCGUCAGUAGUAGUCGUCAGGCAGACGCAACAAUCUAAUAAGUUUAAGAAAUAAUUAAGGAUGCAUUGUUGACAUUUGGUCAAACUCCUUCCUCUUUCUCAUCAUUCAUCAAUCUACGUAAGCACGUGCGAUGCAUUGUGUAAUGCCCAGUCAAAGUCAUAAUCGUCCACUACUUACACCUCACCGCCGACUGCUAUUUUUUCUACUAAACUGACACCCAAACGAACCUUCUUUUUUCUUCUUCUUCUACUCUCUCUCUCUCUCUAUAUAUAUAUAUAGAUAUAUAAAUACAAAAACAUACCCACUUCUCAAAUUUAAAAACAAAACAAAGAAAAGAAAACUAAAUCGUCUGAUCAGGUUUUUGUUUUCCCAAAAUGGAACCUCACUCUUUUUCCUUUUACUACAUGGAUCAGGGGGCGCCAGUUCAGAAGACGGGGAAGAAGCCUGUGGCGCCUCCCCGCCCAUCCCCACCGCAGGUUUAUAAGGUGGAUCCUAUCAACUUCCGGGAUGUUGUUCAGAAGCUAACUGCAGCUCCUCAGUUUCAGGAUCGUCGUCUUCAAGCCAUGCCGCCUCCACGGCCUGAUCUCGCCGAUCAGUCCUCACGACCUCGGGAUUUGUCCGGGGAGGGAGAGGGUGGCUUUUUCUUGGGACAGUCCUCUCACAGAUAUUAAUUAUCUAAAUUCUUGGAGUUUUCAUGUCAUUUUUAUCUCUUCUUUCUUUCUUUCUUAAUACUUUAAUUUGGUUGAAUUCUAAUUUUUAUACUCUCAAUAAAUUUUCAAUUUGUAUUUUUGUAGUUCAUUUACAUGUAACUAUGGAAAUAAUACAGAUAUGGGAAUGAAAUUUGUAGUAAAAAUACUAUUUAAUAACAUUUUAAAAAAUAAUAAACUUAAUUUGGCCUUAAAUAUUUAAGUUAAGAUUAUGGAAGAAGGUGAAUUAGGAACUAAAAUUAGACCAUUAAAAGUAACAAAAUAAUAUUAGGAUAUUUUUCUAGAUACUUAACCUUAUGAAGAACUAUGUUGCAUACUUAACCUUAGGAAGAACUAUGUUGCACUUGGAAACUUUAGGGACCGUUUGGGGAAGGGUUAGGGUUAUGAUAAAACUAGUGUUAUGAUAAAACUAGUUUCAUGAUAAAAGUUGUUUGAGGGAAAUAUUAUGUGAGUAAUGUUAUGAUAGUGUUAUAAUAAGAUGUGUUUGGGGAAGAGUUAUGUGAUUAGUGUUAUGAUAGUUUUAUGAUAAAAUGUGUUUGAGGGAAGGGUUAUGUAUGUAGUGUUAUGAAAUUUAUUUUUUAUACAUUUUUUUUUAAUUCAUAUUCUAAAUCCAACUAAAAUUUUGUAUAUUUAAUUUACUAAAUUAUUCUAUUUUCGUAAAACAAUUUUUAAUAAUUUCUUUAAAUGUGACGUCUAUUUCCAACAUUUUUUACGUUGUCGUUAUGUGCAAAUAAUUUAUUGAUUUUUUAAAGAAAUUUAUAUUCUAAAUCUAAUACACAAAUUUCUUUGACGUAAUUGUUACGUGUAAAUAAAUUAUUAAUUUUUUAAAAAAAUUCAUAUUCUAACUCCAAUACACAAAUUUUGUAUAUUUAAUUUAUCUAAUCGUUCUAGUUUUCGUAACACAAUUUUUCUUAAUUUAUUUAAAUACAAUAUGAACUUUUUUUUAAGGAAUGGUUGAAUAAAUUACUAUUUUUCUUUUAAGGAUAAAACAUUCUCAGUUUUCUUUUUAUCUCAAUAUUAUGUUUUUUUUCUCCUCUUUUUAAAUUAAAGGAUUGUUGUUCCAAGAGCAACAAAAAUAUAAAAAAAUUAUAAUAAAUCAAUGAAAGAUAUAAAAAUAAGGAAGAAGAAAGAGAAAAAAAAAUACAUUUUGGAAAAAUAUAGCGUCAUUUGGUAAAAAUUAAAUUCAAAUAAAUCUUAAAUCAAAUCUCACCAAUAAAUUGAUUUUUUGAAAAGAAAAUUCUUAUACAUUUAAAGUUUAAAUACUUCCAAAAAAAAUAUUUGUUAUACAUUUUUUAGGUUGUUUAAGAGUUCUAAAGUUAAUUAAUUUAAUAUUAAAUCGUCUUAUUUGAUUUUGUUUUGAUUUUUCUAUAAGUUUAAUAAAAUUCAUUUUUUUAAAAAUUUAUUUAACUCAAAUUUAUCCGAAAUAGUUUAGGUACAUAUAGAUUAGUUUUAAAAUAAAAUAUUUGAAAAUGUAAAAAACAAAUAAAAGACAUAAAACAAUAAAAAAAAAUUAAAGUAAAUACGUGUACUAAAUACAUAAACUAAUCACAAAUAAUAUUUAUUUUCUAAAUAAAAUAAAUUAAAAAUAAAAUUCUUUUAAGAUUAUUAAAUUAAUUAAAAAACAAAUGACAUUUGAUAAAUAAAAGAGUAAUUCUUUUUUAAAAAAUGAAAUGGUAAAAUUAUGGGGAAUUGAAAAGGUGGUAUUAUGGAGAAUUGAAAAAGUAGGAUUAUGGAGGAUUGAAGAGGGAUUGAGAAGGAAGAGAAAGGGAAGAUGAGUUGUGAUAAACCUAACACAAGAGUUAUGAUAACCCUUCCCUCAAACAAGGGUUGAGUUACCAUAAUACUAACUCAAUAGUGAUAAUCCUUCCCAAACGGCCCUUAAAGUUUGGUUUGAACACUUAUUAGUUAGACUUCAUAGUGUAAUUUAGUAUUAACAACUAAUCAUUUAAGUUUGGAAAGCUAUUUGAAAAUAGAAGUCAGUCUUAACAUCUAUGACUAUGAGAUAAGUUCUUUUCAAAGAUUUUACAAGAGGGGAGAGAAAAAGGAGACUUGGAAAAAUUAUUCAAUAAUUUUGUUAGUCAAUUACCAUAAAUUAACUCUAAAACUAUUUAGAAACAUUUUUCAAAUUUUAUAGCGGGAGUGUCUUUUCUAAAACUUAAGAUCAAAUCAAAAUAAUAUAAUAUAUGAGAACAAAUAGAGAUCACAAGAUACAUAUAUAUAUACAUUUGUUAAAAAUAAAUCAUAUUGUUUAUACAACUAGUUAGCUUCAAACUAAUUAAGUAUUUGAGAAUGUUAAUAUUUAAAUGUGAUAGGUUUAGUCUUUAGUUUGCUCUCUUUUUGUUACUACAAUUAAGUUAUGUUUUUAGUAAAAAAUACUGAAUUAUUUGAACUCAAAAGACUCAUCGAGCAUAGCCUCACCUUGACGUUGCCCCAAUUGACCUCACUCACACCAUGACCAAUCUUUGAAAUAAGUGAUGCCCAAAUAUAGUUUUGCAUGUUGCCCAAAUAUAGUUUUGCAUGUUUACGUACUCCCCUUAAUUACAAUUGAAAAUAUAUAAAAGAAUAUAUGUUUUUUUUGUUAGAAAAGAAGAGAAAAUCUCAUCCAUUGUAGUAACUUAUGAUUAGAUAGUCGAGUGAUGCAUAAAUAUGAGUGUGAUUAAUUAUAAUGUACCCUUCAGAAAAAUACAUGCUCGUAGGUAUGACGAUAAAAGUAGAGCAAUUAAUAUUGAUGUUAUUGAUCUUGUAUUUUUAUUGGACAAUAUGUAAAGUGGAGGAGUCGAAACUCAACUUCAUGGUUAAUAUAUAAUUUGACAAUUCGUCAAUUAUAUGUCAAUUCAACUACAGAUUCAUAUUUCUUUAUUUUAAAUUUUGAAAUAAAUUUAUGAAAAAAAUUCUGAACAUCUAAAUCUCGAAAUCUCAAGUAGUAAAUCAAAGCAAUAAAACCUUAAAAGUUUACUCCAUAAAUCUUGUUUUAGUUUCUUCUUAUCCUUAUCGGAUCUUAAUUUCUCUCAAUACUUAUCAAAUUUUGACUGUACUUUUAUAAAUCUUAUUUUGAUCUUGAUAUCAAUACUACUAGGAGUGCAAAAAAAAAAAAAAAAAAAUCUUACACUUGUUGGAAAUGAAAGUCAUCAUAAAAAUAUAAACUAUUUGCAUGAAACCUCUUAUUUUAGAUUAUAACAACAAAAGUUGUAUCAGAUAACAAAAACAUUUAGAAAAAACAACUUAUAACGUAAUUUUUUUUUUAUAUUUACAACUUAUAACGUUAUUUUUUUUAUAAUAUAAAUAAAGCAAAUAAUUAGUAAUAAUGACUAUUAGUAGAAUUUAAAUAUGAACUCUAUUAUCUUUUUUUUAUCACAUAUCACAAUAUCAACUCUAUUAUAUGAAUUUAAAUAUGAAAAGUUUGAGUUUAGCAUAAUUUUGAUUAAUAGUUAAGGGCUUAUCCAAGUGCAUUUGUAGGCUUCGUAAAUUGGAGUAAGAAAUAUUGAAAAGCUCCCAAUCUAGGCCGCUGUGGUUUCGUUAAACCUUGGUGGCGGUGGCUCCCGUCCUCCUCCCAUUUACAACCGUCAUGUUACUCAAGAAUUUCAGUCGCCUCCAUACCUUUCCUCUCGCCUCUCUUUUUUCCUAAACUUCCUCUCCUAGGCCCUCCCCGCAUUCUCUCACUUUCUCAUCCCGCCUUUUUUCCUCUUCCAACGCCACCGCCAAGUCAUCAAUCUCUGAUUCUGCUCGAUUCGCUCGCACGGGUUCUGUUUAUUCCUCCUGGAGUCGACGCCGAUGAUAUCUCCGAUGAAAUGCUCCUUCCAGGUUCCAACAUUGUGCUCGGCCCUUAUGCCGGCGACUCCCGUGUCAAGGAGGUUGAGUUCGUCAAAAGCAGCGCUCGAGCUAGGGAUUGCCCUAAAGACAGCAAACCUGAAUUUGCGAUUCUGGGUCGUUCUAAUGUCGGUAAAUCUUCCCUUAUCAAUGCUCUUGUUCGCAAAAAGGAAGUUGCUCUUACUUCUAAGAAGCCAGGUUUGGUUGAUUUUAGGUUUUUUAUAACUAUUCAGUGUGCUAUUGGAUUGUAUUAGUGGUUAAUGCUAUUGAAAUUCUGUUUGGUCGUAGGGAAGACGCAGCUGAUUAAUCACUUCUUGGUGAAUAAAAGCUGGUACAUUGUGGACUUACCAGGCUAUGGGUAAUUCCUGUUUCUUUUCUUGCAAGUUAUAUUUGGGUUUUACUCUUUUGCAUAAGUCUAGUCAUUUAUAUGUUUAUGUGAAAAUUUGUGCUAUUACUUUUCGUUUUUGCUUGCUGGGGCUGUCCUUUUUUUGCGAUGUUUUGUUUUGGAUAGCUAUUUGGGGGUAUUUGGGCACACUGAAUUGGUUACUAUAGUCGUAUGUGAGUGUAAUAGUUGGUGUAUGGAGUGCAGAAAGCAGCCUAUUUUAGUCUGAGUAUGAAAUAAUAAAUACAGUCCAAAGAGGAAUUUGAAAUAGUAAUACAAUGGUUAACCUUAUUGUUAGGUUAUAGUAGUUGUAAACACCAACUAUUAUAAUUGGAGCCUCAAACAUGGUUAUAGCUCACUCCAUCGAUGUUGGAAGCCUAAACACCUUUUGGAGAUUCUAUGUUAACUGAUAUGGUUUUAUUAGUACUUUGGAGGAACAUAAAGUACUGUUUUUCAUUUUUGCUAGCAACUGCUAUUGUACUUUUUUCAGGUUUUUAGUUGUGUAAUUCAACGGCUGCUAUCUACUCUUUUUCUCUUAGUAAUACAGCAUUGCUCCUCCAAAUUGGUGUGCUUGGUCUUUUAAGUUGACAGCUACUUCUCUAGUUUCUGUUGCUGUUUGGAUGAUCGGAUUGUCAUAGGGUCGAUCUUGUCUAUAAUUUCUUUAUUAAUACUAAUAGGUAAACUGGAGGAUUUUCCAACUACUAUGUAAACCUGUUUAAGUGAUUAUAACUACUAAUUUGACGCAUUAGAGGCUUAUUUUAAGUGUUUUAUUUUAUUUUCAUGCUAGUGGUGCUAUACUGCUAUACUUCUGCUUUGUUUUUUUUUUUUUGCAAGAAAUAAAGCUUUCAUAGAACUUAGUAAGCAGGAAAAUAUCGUGAAAGAUGAAACAUAUUUUUUGACCAGCUGGGGUUCUCUUUAAGAAUUUUAAAAAUUGAAUUGAACUCUGGAAUCAAAAUUAUGAAGGUUUUGAGAAUUAAUUUAUAAAAGUUUUCGGCCAUGACUGGAAACUUCAGAAGCUGUUGAGUAGCUUGAUUUACAAAACAUUUCUAAAAAACUACUUUCAAAAACUUUUAUUCAAAAACUUUUAUUGGUUAGAUCUGAAUCUAUCGCCGGCCCCGAAGCUCCGUCGCCGGCCUUCCGAAGCUCAUUGAACAGCUUUCCCUUUCGAUUUCGGUGUGCGAGGUCAAGGCUCAACUUCGCAGUUACAGCGUGGCGUCCAACAGAGCUCGAGGAACUAUUCAGUACUGCUCCAGAAUGGGUUUUGCCUUUCGCGCUACUCCUCAACGUGAGGGGACCGGAGCAGCGCGGAACUGGGCGUCGGAUUUGAGCGUCGUUGAAUCUGAGGGGAACUGAGCGUCGUCGAACGGAUCGGCGGAUCUGAGAAACACGAUCUGGGAGUCUUCAAACGGAACGAGUCGGGUACGGGUCGUCUGGUCAGAGUUCGUGAAGAUUGAGGGGGCGACGGCUAGGCAAUGUCUUCCUACGACUAACAAAAGCCAGCCAACGAACCACCCACCGAAAUCUGACCUCCGUUGCGCCGCUCGACUCACCGGACGACGAUCACCACGUUGCACCGCAACUCUUCAGGCCGAUUUGAAGGGUCAACCGGCCUUGAUCGGCGUCGCUCUCUCCGACUUCCUCCACGGAUUUCGUCGUCAGUCGAGCCGUUCAACACCUAACCAUCUUUCGCCGUCAUCCCGCUAGCCGAAUCUUCAGUAGCUUCGUUCUUUUCUGGCUAUCUCACACGGUAUCUAAGAUUUGGGGUUGAGAUCUUGACCCAUUGGAACUGACUUCUCCUGCCGCUGACGAACCCCAUCAUCUUCAAUUUCUCAGAUGCUGUUUCAAAAGUGUCUUUGUGUUAUGUUUCUGAUGUGGGAUGCCAACAUUUCAUCCGAUUAUUUCUUCAUCCCCGACUGACUUCAUCCUCUCCGAUCAUCUCCUCACUGAACGACUAUGGGGACAUCAAAACGGAUUUCGACAAAAAUUGAAAAUAAAUCCUUCUCCUGCGAGUUUGAUCCGAAUAGUAGAGGAAGGGUGAUACGCCUAACCGAAGCUCAUUUGAAUAAGUCUUAUACCCUUUUUGGAGAAGAAUCUCUUUUUGGCUGGCUGGCUGAUUCCUUGGAGGAAGUUCUGCAGACCCCGAAGCCCCAAAAAUUUUUCAGAAAGACACUGUAAUGGCGGUUUCACCUGGAUCCAAAAGACGACAAACAAGAGAGGAAGCUUCUUGGAGAUUUCGAAGGUGCUGAAGUCGGGGAAAAAAGGAAACAUAGUGGUCCCAGCUGGUGUUGAUUUAAAAGGAUGGGAAAGUUUUAGGCGCUUACUGAUGGAUUUCUUGAAUGACGAAGUCGACUCUAGGGCCCUCCAUUCUGAGAAGAAAUUAAUCCAUAAGCCUUCCUUUGGAAGCAGACGGGAAUCUCAUUAUCAGCUUCGUCAUCCUUUGCGAAUCUCUAAUCAUGGAGGGUAUCCAAGGGUUUCUCAUAGUCAAGAGGAAGGCAAAAGCAAAGGAGGAAGAAGAGUUAGAAAGAUUUGCUGGGAGGACACUCUGGUGGUCACUAAGCGCGAUUUCCAUGACGAUUGGCAGAGGAUUCUGGACGUCCUUCAAAAUCAAACACAAAAAACCUUUAUUAUCAAUCCGUUCCACGUGGAUAAAGCUUUGCUCAAAUGCCCUGAUCAGACGAUAGCUAGACUUCUCACGAUGAACAAGGACUGGGCUACCUACGGCCCUUUAACCUUGAAAAUGGAAUGGUGGGAUCCAAAAAAACAUGGGAGAAUGGCGCUUGUUCCAUCUUAUGGAGGAUGGAUCAAACUAAGAAACUUUCCCUUGCAUCUGUGGAACGAGGAGGUGUUUAAGAGGGUUGGUGAUAAGUUUGGAGGCUUCAUUGAGUUUGCGGAAGAAAAUUCGAGCCUCAUUAACUGCUUGGAAGUGAAUAUCAAAGUUAAAGGGAGCUACUGCGGCUUCAUUCCGGCGGACUUUGAGUUGAUAGAAGGGCCCGAUUCUUAUCUUGUGCAGGUGGUUUCCUUCCAAGAUCCCAAUCUUCUUAUUGAUAAAGUCGCCGGAAUCCAUGGAUCCUUCUCGUCGGAACAAGCUGAGAAGUUCUUCAAAGGUCCGGGUGGCCCGGAUCCGAAUCCGAUUGAUAUUUGGUGUGUGGAGAAGUCGAACUCAAGGCUGGCAGUUUUCGCUUUUCAAAAUUCUGAGAUGGUGAGUACGGCGACAGAAGAAGCUGGAAAAUUCUGUCCUUCUCUGCAAACUGACGGAGAGACUAGAGGAACAAAUUCAAAUUUACCGCCCAAGCAAACCCUAAUGGACUUGACUAAUAGAUUGGGCUUGACCAACGAAGUGGGCCUCAUUACAGAUGUGGGCCUCCCUGAUUUAAAAGGGAAAGGCAUAGCAGUGGAUGAAGUUCUUAUUCAACAGCCCACUAAUAUUAAAAAGCAAACUGGGCUUUUUAUUAGAGAAAACUCCCAAGCUACCCGUGCCAAUCAACCUCUGUUACUAAAACUGCCCAAGCCCACCAAAAUAGUUUGCAGAAAAGGAAGAAAUUCGACCUUUCUUUAAAAACAGUGUGAUCUGCUCUACAAACCAACCUGACGGCAAGGGAGGCCCUUCAACCUUAACGUUCACAUCAGACUGCAUUCAUGGAGAAAUAGAUCCAACUUUGGACGUUCCUAUUUCUAGCCCGGGCAGUCUCAUAUCUGAAAAUAAAUUUGCUCCUCUUGAAGCCGACGACGUGCAGCACAUCUCAGAUCUUUCUUCCGACGUCCAAAGACUCUUCCAUGAGGUAAGCACCACGGAAAGAGGCAGGGAAGAGGGUCUCCAGAUAAUAGCUGUUGAGGAUACCAAUGAGCUUCCUUUUUCCAAUGAAGAAUUAAUUGAAAUUGAAAGCGUAACCGAAUUAGAACCAGCAGCUUCUAUACAGAAUCCUUUUCUAUUGAGUAAGGAGGUGAUAGCGGCUCUACUUGAAUAUGAUCUAUGCAUUCGGGCUGUAACCAGAAAAGGGAAACAACAUAGGAAGGGUGGGGCCUCCUUGAACAACAACAACAAAAAGCUUACUAGAGAAGUCAAAGCACUGCUAGGUAGUUGGGAAAGGGAAGCCCAAGCGGAAAAAGAUAAUAAUAAGCCGGACUGUGAGGGUGAUCCAUGUUAGUUAUCUCUUGGAAUGUAAGGGGUAUUAAUGCUCGCCCCAAAAGAGCGAUUGUGAAAGAGCUGCUUACGAAAUUCAAUCCAGAUGUGGUAAUUCUGCAAGAAACUAAAGUAAGCAAUGUCGAUCGUCAGUUGGUGAAGUCCGUUUGGAGUAGUCGGUUUGUUGGAUGGGCUUCCUUAGAGGCUUAUGGUUCGUCGGGUGGUAUUCUUAUAUUGUGGAAAGAGGAAUCACUCACGGUAGAUGACUCAAUUCAAGGGGAGUUCUCUGUUUCUAUUCAUUGUAAACUUAAUGCUGGUUUCUGUGGAUGGAUAAUAGGUGUUUACGGCCCCUCGUCUUAUAAACGUAGAAACCAAUUCUGGAAGGAGCUUUCUAGCUUAUAUGGCUUGUGCAAUGAUAACUGGUGCGUAGGGGGUGACUUCAAUGUAGUCAGAUGGUUGAAUGAGAAGAGCUCUGGCACUCGCCCGACUAGAAGCAUGCUUCGAUUUAACAACCUGAUUGAGGAGAUGGACCUGGUGGAUAUUCCCUUCCGAAACGGAAGGUUCUCGUGGUCCCGAUUAGGGGUUAGGCCCGCUGCUUCAAAGCUCGACAGAUUCCUUCUCUCCAAGCCUUGGAUGGAGUUCUUUAGAGAAGUAAGAGUGGAAAGACUUCCUCGUACCACAUCGGAUCAUUUUCCGAUAAUUUUAAAAAUGGGGGCUCAUUCCUGGGGUCCCACACCUUUUAGAUUUGAAAAUGCUUGGCUGGAUCAUCAUCUCUUUCUUUAAAAAUGUUGAGAACUGGUGGGCAGUUUGGAGGCUGAUGGCUGGCCUAUAUUCUCUUUCAUGGAAAAGCUAAAAGGUCUGAAAGCCAUACUAAAAAGUUGGAAUAAGGAGACUUUUGGUAAUAUUUUCUCCCAAAAACAGGUGCUGAUUGAUAAGAUUAACUCUUUUGACUCACUUGAAGAGUCAAGCUGUCUCAACGAGGAAAAUGUGAAGGAAAGAGAAAACUGUAGAGGGGCUCUGCUUGAUUUGAUUGUGAAAGAACAGAAGUUGUGGAUUCAGAAGUCGAAGCUUCACUGGCUUAGGAGGGGAGGAAAACUCAAGCUUCUUCCCAGAUGGGUUUCGGCUCGUAAAAGUAAAAGUAUUAUUUCCUCCUUGGUUAGUAUUGAUGGGAAGACUCUUGUCACAGAGAAGGAGAUUGUGGAUGAGAUCCUCAGCUUCUUUUCAAUGUUAUAUGGCACAAGGAUCUCCUCGCCGUUUAUUUGUGACGGUCUUAAUUGGAGAGGCCUUAGCUUACAGGAUUCGAAUUUACUUGAGGCUCCCUUUACCGAAAAAGAAAUUAGAGAAGCUGUUUUUAUGAUUGGGUUGUCUCAAGUCCCCUGGCCCUGAUGGCAUGACUGGAGAGUUUUAUAAAAAAUCAUGGAACAUUCUGAAGCCCGACCUCGUAAGGGUGUUCCAAGAUUUUUUUAAAAACGGAGUUAUUAAUAGAAGAUGUAACGAGACUUAUAUUUGCCUCAUCCCCAAAAAAGAAAGAGGCGGGCCGUGUCAGUGACUUCAGACCAAUUAGCUUGAUUACCUCCUUGUAUAAAAUUAUCUCCAAGGUGCUUGCUUCAAGGCUUAAAAAAGUUCUUCCAUCGAUAAUUAAUGACUCUCAAAUGGCUUUUGUGGAGGGAAGGCAAAUCCUUGAUGCUAUUUUAACUGCUUCCGAGGCUGUUGACGAAUGGUCUUUAAGAGGCAGAAAAGGCGUGCUUUUGAAGCUCGACCUGGAGAAAGCUUAUGAUAAGGUGGAUUGGUCUUUUCUUGAUAUGAUCAUGAAACUUAAAGGCUUUGGUAAGAGAUGGAGGAAAUGGAUUUGGGGAUGCUUGUCGACAACUAAUUUCUCCAUAAUUGUCAAUGGGAGGCCUAGAGGAAAAAUUAUUGCUAAAAGGGGCAUUCGUCAAGGUGAUCCUCUUGCUCCUUUUCUUUUUACGAUUGUGGGAGAUGCUCUUAGCUGCCUUAUCCACUACUGUAAUGAGAAAAGGAGUUUAAGAGGCUUUCAUUUUGAGAACCUGUCAGAAGAUUUAACCCAUCUUCAGUACGCAGACGACACGCUUCUUUUCUCUCUUGGGAGGAUGGAAAUCUGGAGAACUGGUGGAAGGUGGUUAAUAUCUUCCUUAUGGGAGCCGGUCUUUCCCUUAACAAAGCUAAAACCUCCCUGAUCGGUAUUAACCUUAGCAAUGAUGACUUAGCUCCUUUUAGUGAAUCUACGGGAUGCUCGGUUGAUAAUCUUCCCUUUAAAUAUUUGGGCUUCUCUAUUGGAAGGGGUCAUAAUAGAAAAGAGAUGUGGAACAAUCUUGAAGAGAGAUUCAGACACAAAUUUGAUAGGUGGAGGAAUGUAUCCCUCUCCAAAGGGGGUAGACUAACUCUGGUGCAAUCAGUUCUCAACAGCCUCCCUUGUUAUCUCUUCUCCCUUGCUCAAGCUCCAGUUGGCGUUAUUAAUAGAUUGGAACAGAUGAUCAGGAAGUUUGUUUGGACAGGUGGAUCUACGAAUCCAAUUGCUCAUCUCGUCAACUGGGAAUGCACUUCCACCCCAACUUGUUACGGUGGUCUUGGGAUUGGCUCUUUUAGGCAAAAGAAUAUUGCUCUUCUCACUAAAUGUUUGGAGGUUUAGUAAGGAAGAAACCUCAUUAUGGAGGCGAUUAAUUGUGGCCAUCUAUGGUUUAGAUGAGAAUGGGUGGUCUACCAAAGAUCCAAACAGGGGAAAAUCUCAUAGAUUAUGGGCUGAUUUUAAAGCAUAAGGAGAUAUUCUUCAAUUUUUCUGCUUUUGUUUUGGGAGAAGGAACAAAAAUCAAAUUUUGGAAGGAUAAAUGGUGUGUCGCGGAAACACUUGCAGAAAAAUUCCCUAACUUAUUUCUUUGGCGCUGAAUAAGGAAGCUUAUGUGGCUGAUUGCUGGUGUACUGCUACUCAUUCUUGGAAUUUGGGCCUUAGAAGAAAUAUGCUCGACAACGAGAUUGCCAAUGCGGCCUCAGCUUUAGAAAUUCUUCACUCUUGGGCCCCCACUGAAAGGAAUGAUAGUCUUAAAUGGAUUCCUAACAUGAAUGGCAACUUCACUACAAAAUCUACUUUUCUUAACUUAACUAAGAGAUCCCCCAACAUUGCCGUCCCCUUGAUUCGUCAGAUUUGGAAGAAUAAAAUCCCGAAGAAGGUGAAAGUUUUUCUUAUGGUCGCUUGCUCACAGAAGCCUCAACACCCAUGAGAAACUACAAAAAAAAAUCCAGAACACAUUGCUUAGCCCCUCGAUGUGUUGCCUAUGCGCUAAAGAUGAGGAAACGCUGGAUCACUUAUUCCUACAUUGUCCCUUCACAAGAAAAGCUUGGAACACGCUGUUUGGUAUUUUCGACUUGGAGUUUUGCCUUCCUAGCAAGAUUGAUAGAUGGAUGAUUGAAGGUCUUAAUAUUAUAGGUUACAGCCCUAAAGGAAACAUCUUAUGGAAAUGUGCGUCGCGUUCCCUUUUGUGGAGCAUUUGGAAAGAAAGGAAGAGCAGAAUUUUUGAAGAUAGAUUUAAUUCUUUUGAUUCUUUUUGGACUGUGGUUCAACACACAGCCUCUUGGUGGAGUACGAAUUACACCAAACACUUUUGUAAUUAUAGCCUUUCUAUGAUUUUCAACAAUUGGAAGGCCAUUAUGUCCUAGCUCUUUUGCUUCUUCCGGGGAGGGCCCUCUUGUCCCUCGCCCUUAGGAUGUUCUGUUUUGUUAUAUGAAUAUACUUGUCUCUUAUAAAAAAAAAAAAUUUAUAAAAGUUUUCACCUACCUCAUUCAUCAGAAAGUUCGUCUUAGGACAGAGUCCUCUCAAGUUCUCAUGCUUACAAUUUUUUCAUGUAAAAAAACUCCUAGUUAGGGAAAUAUUAGAAUAAUUAGUAUAAUUAAGUAGUAAGGGUGUUAUAGUAAUUGGCUAUAGAGUUUGAAUAGUAGGUGAAAGGAAGGUCAGAGAUGUGAGUUUUGGUAGAGAAUAGCCCUCUUGAAAAGCUACGGUAUGUUGUAGGUUCCUCAUUGAUAUAAUCUAUUAAGUUUGUGUUCUUGGGUUCUUUUUUAGGAGGUAUCUAAACAAAAAGGUUUCGACUUUCGACCAAAAAUAGGUCGGAAGAGCAUUGCUAUCUUCUUGUAGAUAUAGUUCUUAACUUAUUAUGUAUCAGACACUGAUUUUCGACAUUCUAUAACUAAUUUAUGUCUUAUAUUAACUUAUUUUACUCUAAAUGUAAAGCAAUCCCUACUUCUACUUAUACAACUUGUUUAACUUUUAAAGUUGUUUAACACUUCAAAUUUGAUUCAGUUUUGCCAAAGUCUCAGAAACUGCUCGAAUGGAUUGGUCCUCAUUCACAAAAGGGUAUUUUAUGAACCGAGAUACUCUAGUAGCCGUGCUGCUUCUCAUUGAUGCAAGUGUUCCACCUCAAAAAAUAGACUUGGAUUGUGCCAAUUGGCUUGGCCGAAAUAACGUAUGCAAUCUAAAUUUAAGUUCAUUGCUUAUGUUGAAAUGCAGUACUAGUUGAAUACACAUGUGAUUUCCAAAUAUCUUAUGCUGUGUUGCUCAUUUUCAGAUACCGAUGACAUUUGUGUUCACGAAAUGUGACAAAAUGAAGGUGAGCAAAGGAAAACGACCUGACGAGAACAUCAGGGAGUUCCAACAACUUAUCAGACAGAAUUACAAGGUACAUCCUUCUUGGAUCAUGACUGGUAGUGUCACAGGUUUAGGUCGGGAUGAAUUACUUCUAUACAUGUCCCAACUAAGGAAUUAUUGGGAUCAAUAAGUAGUGAUCUAGAGCCUUGUUUAGUUUUAAAAACUGGCUAUUCAUAUUGUAUAAUAUAUUGUAAUCAAAAGUUAGAAAUUCAUUUGCCCUUUUCUGUUUCUAAUUUUAUGUCAAUUUCAUUGGAAAGUUCCAGAGAGAUUAAAAUGUGAAAUUUUUUCUUUGGAAAAGAAAAAAGGAAGAACAAAAAUAGUGGAUUUGUCCAUUAUCAAAGUAGGACUAAAUUCGAACUGUCUGGAGUUUGAAAUGGGUUAAUCGAUUUCGUACAUUCUCAUGGCAAGUCAUACAUCAACACACAUGAACUUAAGGAAAAGAUCAAUAGAAUACAACAGAAGAAAUAUGUAUUCACUUGUUCAUCCUUUUUGGCCAUCACAACUGAAUAACCUCUUUUUAUAAUUUGAGUGUUUGGUCAAACUUGGUUUAAUGGUCGGUUGAAUGCAGCUUUGUGAGAAAGAAAAUACCCCUUUUACCUAAAUAGAUUGGUAAAAUGCCAAUGCCUUGUUUUUGCUAAUUUUAUUUUCAAUACAAAUUCUUUUAAAAAACUAAAUCCAUUCCCAUUGGUAAAGCAAGCUUAGUUUUAUGGUAAUUUUUUUUCCUUAGAGAUGGGAGGUUCGAUCCUUCAUACCUCGAUUGUUGUACUUAAAAACUCGUGGUUCACUUCUGUUAGUAGUAUUCACUUGUUUUUUCUUCAUACAUAUAUCAUAAAUCCCUCCCGAGAAUGAGAGAUAAUAUAAAAGGAGAAAAACUCUCCUAGAAAGAGGAAUUCCCAAAUGAAGAAGACAAACCUACUUGAUUAUGGACAACUUUGUUCUACUAAACCCAACAUAAGUUGGAAAACCAAGGUGUGACUUAAGUAAUUGACUAUGACAUUAGCAUAUGAUACUCGUCUCAUGCAUGGAUUGACCAAUUGAAAGACAAUUGGAAAGCACCCACCCACCCUAACUGGGUUCCCAAUCACGAAUAAUUCAACCAGUCCCACCUCUAUGAGUGUUCUCCAACCAUGCAACAUCAACAUUCAUCUUCUAGGAACGCUCUCUUUGCAGCUUCCAACGACUAAAAGCCAUGUUAAUGCUCAAAUUGAUUCUAAAAGCCAUGUUAAUGCUCAAAUUGAUUCUAGAAGGGCAGCUUCCUUCUUGAAAUAAAGAUUCUCCAAAAGCUUUUUUCUACAUCAAUAUUGACAGCUUGAUAACAAAUUCACUUCUUUUAAAUAAUUUAUGCCCCUACGCUUGGAAGGUUGUAUAAUUUAAAUCAUAUAGGAUUUAGUAAUCUAAUCACAUAAACUUCCAUAAGCUUAUAAAUUUACGUCCUUGGACUUUGGUUUUGAAAAAUAUCAUUGCAAAACAUGAGAAUCAAUUUAGAGUUUUUCGUUACGAAUACAAAUUCUAUUCUAACACAUUUUGUAGACUUCGUCAAAUGUUUAAGAAAAUCUCAACUGAGAUUUCUAGAAGUGAUUCUUAAUUAAAUUGGAACCAAGGCCUUAAGCCAAUAGAAGAAAACAAAUUUAUAUUAUCCAACUUUAGUCCAACAAACUUUGUACAUCUCCUUGAUCACAAAAUAAUUCUUAUCUUUAAAAAAGUUUACUAGAGGAUAAUUUAUAAUUUGACACUCGGGUGAAUCACAAAUAUUUUUAAACAUGAACAUUCAUCUCAUAGACUAAAUGUAGAAGAUUACAAUAGUACAACUCACUUAGUCGCAUAGUAAAAGUAACUCAAAAUAUAUUUAGAACAAAAAUACUUUACCAUACAACAAAUUAUAGCCGUUCGAUUGAAUAGACUGACCUAAAGAAAAACAAUACUUUAUCCUAUGACAAACAUCUAAGUAUUCUUCUGACCAUUCCUCACUCUCUUAAGCUUCAUUUCUUGAAGUUCCUCAAACAAUGAAACCAAGUUGGUAUGAGAGAAACCACCACAAUUCACACUUGUUUUUGCAGCCUCUCCCAUUUCUUUAGCUCUCUCAUUUCCAAAGCUUCAACACUUUCACCCAUCAAAAAAGCUAUGGCCUUACCAAUCUCUUCCCUCUUAAUAAUUUCUGGUUCUUCUCCCAAAUGCCACCAUUUCUUUGACCCAACUCCCACUCCAAUCUUCACCACUUCAAUCAACAACUUCUCAUUGUAAAACUGUUCAGCAAACAAUGGCCAUGUGAUCAUUGGUAAGCCUGAACUUAUUCCUUCAAGAAUUGAGUUCCAACCACAAUGAGUCAAAAACCCUCCAACACUUUUGUGCUCUAAUAUCAUCAAUUGUGGAGCCCAUCCCUUUAUUAUCAAACCCUUUUUGGUUCUACUCAUUCUCUCCUCAAACCCUUUUGGUAACCCUUUGUUUACUACGUCGUCAUCGUUGUCUUCGUCGUUCUUUUUUAUGACCCAGAUGAAACUUUGACUGGAUUCUUGAAUCGCAUGUGCUAUUUCGGUUAUUUGGUUACGACUCAUCUGAAUCAAGCUUCCGAAGUUGAUGUAGAGAACUGAAUUUGGUUCUUUCUCAUUGAGCCAUUGGAGUAAGUUGGUGGUUUGAAUGUUGGGGUUUCCACCUCUUGAUUCUUUAUCUUCAAUUUCAUUGUUUGCCAACAAUGAUACUGGCCCUAUGCUCCAUGUUUUGAUCCCUAUAAUCUAUCAAACAAUAAUAAUAAUAAUAAAAACAAAUCCUCGAAGUCUCGAAUCAAUUCAAAAAUAUUUGGGUGCAUCUUGAGCUCCAUCUAUUUUGUAUAGCUUAUUCAAUGUCCAGAUUACACGUUACCACGUGACAAACUUCUCUUUUUUAAAAACGAUAAUUUGAAUAUUUUUUUCUUCUUUGCGACCGAAGGAGAUAUACAAGGCUGAGUGCAACAGGCAAACGUAAUGAUAACUUUUUUAUUUAUCACAUGUCUAUUUCUAUAUAUUAUUAGUGUUUAUUAGACAAUAAAAUUUCAUGCUACAUAAGUAAAUAAUUUGUCUCAUGUUGUAUUAUUUGACAACAACCCUUUUAAAAACACGUUCUUAAAGUAAAAUUUGUAGUUUUCUUGAAAAACUUUAACUUAGAAUUCAAGUGUGUUUUAAAAAUAUGUGAAGCUUAAUUAACAACUUCUAAAAAUCAAGCUUCUAAACAAAUAUAUACUUCAAGAUGUAAUUUUUGUUCUCAAAUAUUCUCCUUUUUUUUAAAAAAAUAUGAAUAAUAUAAUUCUAACGAAAUCGUGAUCAUAAAUCAAGUACAAAUUUCAAAACCAAAAGAUUACGUUAAGAAACGAGUAAUGUGUAGUUAUUAUAUACAAUGGUUUGAGGUAAACCUCACCUUAUUCAAGUGUUCUUCAUAUGAGGCUUCCAAUUCAUGAAAGCUAUUCAUCAACAUUCCAUAGCAUCGUUUCUCUGAUUCUCUAAUGACAUCAAGCAAUUGUGAGAAACCAUCUGGUUUAUGUCUAGUGAUCCAACUUGGCAACUCAGAUCUCACCAUUUCAAUAACAUCAGGCAACCCCGGAAGUUUGAACUUUUCAUUGUUGGAUUCAACUUCAAGAUGUGGCUUAUGCUCCUUUAUACAUUGUUCCGCACAAUAACUGAAGAAGCUUGAACCGUUGAAGGCAAGCCGUGGGAUUCUGAGCUCGGCUGCCACAUCACUCGUCCAUGGGUAAAAGACGUCAGAAACGAUACAAUCUGGCUGCAUCUCGUGGAUAAGGUCUACGAGUUGGGGUUGGAGCAUGAGAAACGCUUGGAAAACCUUGGUCAUCUUCAUCGAUGUGGCAGUACUAAGAUUUUGAAUAGCAGGAGAGAGACCGACCUGUUAAGAAUAUGAACGAAAAGAUCACUUCGUUUCAUACAUGACGACUUAAAAAGAAUCUUUCGUUAAGAGAUAAUUGUCAUAGAUAAGUUGAUAACAAAAGUAUUUUCAAAUGCCAGGAUAGAAACAAAAUCGAUAAGUAAAAAUGUGAACGGUAAGAAACGACAAUGAGAUUUAUGCGAUUAUUCACUAACAUAUAGUUAAAUUUGUUCACGAAUAGAGGAAAUUAACAAUUGUAUUAUAGAUCCAGACGCAAAGGCCUAAAAGAUUAAAGAGUUCAUUUACGACGCUUCUCUAAAGUCUAAACUCUAGACUCAAAAUCGUGACUAACCUAAAAUGUAUAUAUAAUUUAGGUUUCUAUGGCAUUAGCAAAUAUGUCACAAAACCACGUAAUUUAUAAAUACGAUGAUAUUUUAAAUUGUUAGUCCAUCACUUAUGUAUUAGUUAUAGAUUUUCAUUAUCGAUAGACCUUUUUACCAAUAUACUAAUAGAUUUAUCAAAAAACAAAAAAAACAGGAAGUUAAAUAUUGUUUUUCAGAAACAAAUCUAUCAAAAUUGUGAUUAGGAAAGGAAUUGAAUCGUAGAGUACAACCUCUGCUGCUGGCCAUGGAAUGGUGUGUAAGCGAAUGCACCCGACCCAAUAUUUUUAAUGAUACAGGUAACAAAUCAUGGAAACCUUAUAAUGAUACAGGUAACAAACCUUUUCAAUUGAGGUUUAGAUGCAAAACAUGUAAUAUAGUUAAACAUUAUUUCGCCAAAGUUAGUCAUUAAACUCAAGCGAAUCAUAAAACAGAAAAAGAAUGUAGAUUUAAGAGGACUAUGUAAUAUAUCAACUAGGAAUGAAAUAGGCGAAGAUAAAAGCAAGUAUUGAGAAUAAAACAAAGCAUAACAAAAGAGGAAGGCCAGCUUACUAUUCAAAAAGCAAAGGAGUUCCACAUCACUUGCAAGAUAGCAGUGGAACAUUGCUAUAGAACUAUCUUGGGAACUUUGGCAGAGUUGUGUUUGGAAAUUACAAUGAUGUUUAGCAAAAAUGUUUACAAUAAUAAAACUAUAACAUAAAUGUUUCAUAGUGUUGGAAGAAAUUUGUAAGGCCCCCUAUUAUCCAUACAUACAAAAGGAGGGGUAAAAACGUAAAAGCUCACGCAGCAGAAAAGGAGAGAAUAUUAGGAAAAGAACAUGAGAGUGGGGCCCACGGGGAAGAAUGAGAAAAGAGCUAUAAAUAUAAGGCCUUAUCGGGAUUGGGGGCUAGGUUAACUUUUUGUCUUCAUUUGGUCUAUAGAGGCUGCUAGGUCUAGGAAGGACUACUAUCUUUUCGUGGGAGGUUUGACAUGAUGUUUAUCAUCUUUAUUGCUUUCUUUUAUAUUUCCUUCUACUGUAUCUUUUGGCAUUUAUAUAUAAAUAAAGAUCUACAGAGUGCUGUCUCUGUUUGCCAACUGUUUGGGUAAUUUAGUAUUUUAUUUGUGGAGUCUCUACAACUGGUAUCAGAACCCAAACGUUGGGGGUGGUGACGCGACUGAUGGCGCAGAGGCAAAUAGAAGAAAGAAUAGAUGGAACAGAGAAAGAAAUACUGGGCUUGAAGGGAAAUGAUUCUGGAAAUGAAGAAAUCCAUGGAUAGACUGGCUGAUGAAAUGAAAGAAAACAGCAGCUACAAAAGGCGAGAUGAAUCUGGAACUUCUGAUGGAUCAGUCAUGAAGUUAAAAGGAAAAUGGGAAGAAGCCGACAAUCCAGGGGAAAACAAUGUAGUAACUGUCGACCGAAGCAAAUAUAAGAAACUGGAAAUGUCGAUUUUCACCGGGAAAAUUCUGAGUCAUGGGUGUUUAGAGCUGAGCAUUUUUUCGAAAUUAAUAGCCUACUGGAAGCAGAAAAAGUGAAAGUAGCAGUGGUUAGUUUUGGACAAGAUGAAAUCGAUUGUACUGUUGGAGUAACCAUAGAAAGAAGGUGGAAGGAUGGAAGAUUUGAAGGUAAGGAUGUUUGAAUUUUUUCGAGAUUCUGGGCAGAAGAGCUUAGGUGCAAGGCUGAUUCGAAUAGAACAAGAUGGAUCCUAUAAUGAUUAUGUCAAGAAAUUCGUACAAUAUUCUGCACCACUACCGCACAUGGCUGAAAGCGUGCUCUUAGAUGCAUUCGUGACAGGAUAAAGAUAAAGCAUAGGAAGAGCAAAUACCCCAUGGGAAGUAAACUGAUAAAAAAUACUUUGUCUUGAGAGUAAUAUAUCCCGAACCAAUUUUCUGCCAGCCAUUAAGAUUUACCCACUGCAACUCUGCACACAAAUAUUUUCUUAUAAACAAUAAUUAACACAAUCUAAUUGGUAUCUUAUGGAUAUAAAAGACAGCAUGGAUCCAUAUUGAAAGGAUUUCAAAUUAGUCUAUGAACAAAGAAUUUGGAAGGAUUUGUGAUCAACUAAGGAGCUCUCGACUUUCUUCGCUGGAAUUUACAUUCCUUGGGUACUUAUCGACCAGAGACUGGAAGUAAUUGUGCUCUUCGUCCAUAGUAGUCAUCCAACCAGCAAGGGAAAGACCACGACGCGCAGUGGAAUAGGAAAAAGAGCGUCGAGCACAGCCUUCGUGUCACCAGCAAUCGUUUUUUCCUUUAUUGGUAGACCGAAAAGGCUUUGUCAAGCAGGCAGGCAUGAUUGUCACUCGAUCGACAGUUGAGAAAUCCAGCGCUGUUAGGGCCAGGAGAAGAAGAUGGCCGUGAAUCGCGAUUUUGAGGAAGACGAAGAAGAUAAGAGAAGGGGAGAGGACGAGAAAGUAGAGAGAGAGCCGUCAGAGAAGAAGUAGGGGAAGAAAUUCUUUUAUUUAAAAUUCAAUUGCAUUAUUUAUUUAUUUAUUUAAUUUCUUUUGAUUUAUUUAUUUAAUUUAAAUAUAUACAUAAAUUUGCAAAUUGGAAUAUAUAGUUAUAUUACUUAUUAUAGAAUAUAAAAUGAAAUAGUGAUUAGUAGUGAUUAGAAGAAAUGUCUAAAAUAAACAAAAAUAAUAAAUAUUCAAAAAAGAUAUUCUUUUUUUAUUUAAAUAAUACGAAGGCUAGUACCCUUCGGGAAGUGAUUGGUCUGUCAUAUGCUAUAAACGGGAUUAAACUCCAUUUCUCAUACUUUCACUCAUUGAUUAACUCAUUGUUAAGAUUAGGUUAGGUCUAUUUCGAUUUCACACUAAGCCAAGAAAUUCAAGAACGAUAAACUUUAAAAUUUGGUGAUAGGGAUCAACAAGUUAUUGAAAUUUUUUUCCUCGCCAAGUAGAAUUGCUUUAUCAAUGAUUCGGUGAAUGUAUCUAUGUUCAGUUCGUGUGUGUACAUGUAUGAAUCAAAUUCAUUUCGUUAGGAUGGGGAUCAUCAAUUUAAUUAGGGAUCGGUCUUAUGAUGAAACAAUUCAUUGCAUUGAUCAAAUCCAAUAUAAAAAACCAUUUUACCUAUACUUAAUAGAUAAAUCAAGUUCCUCAAUGAGCCCUAAGCCCUAAGCACUAAGCCUUAAGCCCUAAAAGCCCUAAGCCCUAUAAGCCCUAAGCCCUAAAAGCCCUAAGCCUUAAGCCCUAAGCCCUAAGCCUUAAGCCCUAAGCCCUAAAAGCCCUAAGCCCUAAGUCCUAAGCGCUGUAAAAGCCCUAAAAGCCCUAAAAGCCCUAAGCCCUAAGUCCUAAGCGCUGUAAAAGCCCUAAAAGCCCAAAGCCCAAGCCCUAAAAGCACAAGCCCUAAACCCUAAAAUCCAAAAGCCAAAGCACAAGCCCUAAAAGCCCAAACCCUAAUCCCUAAAAGACCUAAAAGCCCUAAGCGCCCUAAAAGCCCUAAGAGCCCAAAGCCCGAGCCCUAAAAGCCCAAGCCUAAUCCCUAAGCACUAAGCCAAAGGCCCUAAGCCUAAAAGCCCCAAAGCACCAAAAGCCCUAAACCCUAAAAGCCCUAAAAGCCCUAAGUCCUCGUAAAAGCGUUAAGCCCUAAAAGCACUAAGCCAUAAUCCCUAAAAGCCAUAAGCCUUAAAACCUAAAAGCCCUAAGAGCCCUAAAAUCCCUAAAAGUCCUAAGCGCCAUAAACCCCUAAACCCUAAACACUAAAGCCAUAAGCCCUAAAAUCCCUAAGCCCUAAAACCCUAAGCCCAAGCCCUAAAAGCCCAAGCCAUAAAAGCCCAAGCCCUAAGCCCUAAGCCCUAAGCGCCCUAAAAGCCCUAAAAGCCCUAAAAACCCUAAAACCUAAAAGCUAUAAUCCCUAAAAGCCCUAAGCCCUAAACGCCUUAAAAGCCAUAAACGCCUUAAGCACCCUAAAAGCCCUAAACGCCCAAAGCCCAAGCCCUAAAAACCCAAGCCCUAAAAACCCAAGCCCUAAACGCCCAAGCCCUAAAGGCCUGAGCCCUAAAAGCCAAAGCCCUAAGCCAUAAGCCCUAAGCCCUACAAGCCCUAAGCCCUAAGCAAUAAAAGCACAAGAACUAAGCCCUAAACCCUAAACCCUAAACCCUAAACCCUAAGCCCUAAGCCCUAAGCCCUAAGCCCUAAGCCCUCAACCCUAAGGCCUAAGCCCUAAAAGCCCUAAAAGUCGUAAAAGUCGUAAAAGUCGUAAAAGCCCUAAGCCCUACAACCUAAAAGCCCUAAGCGUCCUAAAAGCCCUAAAGCCCUAAACGCCCAAAGCCCAAGCCCUAAAAGCCCAAACCCUAAGCCCUAAGCCCUAAGCCCUAAAAGCCCUAAAAGCCCUAAAUCCUAAACCCUCAACCCUAAACGAUAAGCCCGAAAAUAAGUAAGCCCUAAGCCCUAAAAGCCAUAAGACCUAAAAGUCACAAGCCCUAAGCGCCCUAAACGCCUUAAGCGCCCUAAAAGCCCAAAGCCCAAGCCCUAAAAGUCCAAGCCCUAAAAGCCCUAAGCCCUAAGCCCUAAAAGCCCUAAAAGCCCUAAAAGCCCUAAAUGCCCUAAAAGCCUUAAAAUCCCUAAAAUCCCUAAGCUAUAAAUGGCCUAAAAGCCCUAAAAUCCCUAAGCCCUAAAAGCGCUAAGCGCUAAAAGCCCUAAGUCCUAAAACCUAAAAGCCCUAAGCGCCUUAAAAGCCCUAAAAGCCCAAAGACCAAGCCCUAAAAGCCUAAGCCCUAAAAGCCUAAGCCCUAAGCCCUAAAAGCCCAAAAAUCCCUAAGCCCUAAAACCUAAAAGCCCUAAGCGCCAUAAAAGCCCUAAAAGUCAUAAAAGCCCUAAAAGCCCUAAAAGCCCUAAUAGCCCAAAGCCCAAGCCCUAAGCCCAAAGCCCUAAGCAUUAAAAGUCAUAAGCCCUAAGUGCCCUAAGUGCCCUAAAAGCCCUAAACGUCUUAAGCCACCCUAGGCCGCACUAAAAGCCAAAGCCCAAGCCCUAGGCCUAAAGGCCCUAAGCCCUAAAGCCCAAAGCCCAAGCCUUAAAAGCCCAAACCCUAAGCCUAAGCCCUAAGCCCUAAGCCUAAGCCCUAAUCCCUAAAAUCCCUAAGCGCCCAAAAAGCCCUAAGAGCACUAAAAGUCCUAAAAGCCAAACGAGCCCAAAGCCGAGCCCUAAAAGCCCAAGCCCUAAUCCCUAAGCCUAAGCCCAAAACACCCUAAGCCCUAAAAGCCCUAAAAGCCCCAAAAGCCCUAAAUGCCCUAAAAGCCCUAAAAUCCCAUAUCCCUAAAUACCCUUAAAACCCUUAAAGCCCUAAGCCCUAAGCCCUAAGCCCCUAAAAGCGCUAAGCCCUAAAGCCAUAAAUCCCUAAAAGCCCUAAGCCCUAAAACCUAAAAGCCCUAAGCCAUAAGCCCUAAAAACCCUAAGCCCUAAAACCUAAAAGCCCUAAGCCAUAAGCCCAAAAAGCCCUAAAAGCCCUAAGCCCUAAAAACCCAAACCCCAAACCACUAGUAGCCUAGUUUCUUCAUGGAAGAUUGCUUGCAAAGAUCCCAAGUUUGGUUAUAUUUCAUUUCCUUUUAUUCCUACAAAAAGAAAACAAGAAUUUCCAUCGAAUUUUAUUCAAUAGGUUAAACUAAAAAUUUUAGAAAAAAUGAGCGGAAUUGUUUAAGCUCGGUUGCAUUUUCUAAGUAUCACUUGAAUUAUCAAAACGACCUAACAAAUAUUCAAUACAAGUUCAUAAGUCAUAACCUAGCAAAAAGUUCAAAUUUUUUGAAAAGGACACUCCAAAACCCAAAAUGUCAAGUGUGUAAGUGAUACGAACUUAGUUCUAUACAAACCUAACAAGUAUUCAAAACACGUAUAAGUUUUCAAAAAACCUAACAACGCUUAAGUGUAAGUUUAUAACUCAUAACUUACCAAAAAUUUCAAAAAGUGUGAAAAAAAAUCUUUCAAGACUCAAAAUGGCAACCAUGGCUGUAUGUAAAACUAACUUAGUUUGUAACAACCUAAAAGGUGUUCAAAAAAUGUUUAAGUAUCACUCGAACCUUAAAAACGACCUAAUAAUGCUUUAGUCUUACUUCAUUACUCAUAACCUACCAAAAUGUUUAAAAAAUGUAGAAAAAGCACUCCAAAAUCCAAAAUGGCAACCAAGUGUGUAAGUGCAACAAACUUAGUCUCAACUUUAAAAUUAGUGCGAGUUGGGAAAUGUAUUAACUCAAGCAUGAUGUACAAACUUGAAACGACUUAAAUAUUUAUUCACCAUCACAUAAAAACAGUAAUUAAAUAUAGAUAACAUGUGUAAAUAAAGGGAGAAUCACCUUUCUAGCAGUAGCUUUAGAGUAAGACCAAACACCAUCCUCCUACUUGUAAAUCUGCUCGAUUGUCUACUUUGUUCUACAUUCGUCAUUUCACCGUCUCAGGCCAUCCAUUGAAUUGGCCACCCAGCCUUGGCAUACAAGAGUAUGUCUCAGCCUGUUAACAAAUACCACUAAAACUAAGCAAGACAAAGAAAAAAGUUUUCAAAAAAUUACCUAACUUUUAGGUCUUCAUGUGACCUUUAUGUUCUUCUGUCUUCUCCUUCAACUCUUUGACAGAUUGCUGAAAUUAUGUGUUUCUGAAAUGUUUACCAGACCAUGAAAGAUUCAUUACGAAAAUAAAUACCAUGAAUACAAACCAUGAAGAAAUAGUAAAACAGUCAAUACAAGAAGAAAAAAGUUCACUUGAAAACAACCUAAAACAGUAUCACUUGAACAAAAUGUGUCUAAGUAUCACUUGAACUUUCAAAACGACCUAAAACAGCUUACGUUGUAGGUUCGUAACUCAUAACCUACGAAAAAAGUUCAAAUAGUGUGAAAAAAGCACUACAAGACCCAAAAUGGCUACCAAGUGUGUAAGUUGUAACAAACUUAGUUCAAACCAACCUAGAACGUGCUCAAAACGUGUCUAGGUAUUACUUGAGCUUUCAAAACGACCUAGCAAAUCCUAAAUGUAGGUUCGUAACUCAUAAUCUACCAAAAAGGUUGAAAAAAGCAUUUCAAGACCAAAAAUGACAACCAAGUGCAACAAACUCAAUCUAACCUAAAAUGUAUUCAAAACGUGUGUACGUAUCACUUAAACUUUCAAAACGACCAAACAAUGCUUAAGUGCAAGUUUGUAACUCACAACCUACCAAAAUUUCAAAAAGUGUAAAAAAAGCACUUCAAGGCCAAAACGGCAACGAAGUACGUAAGUGCAACGGACUUAGUUUCAAGCCAUCCUAAAAAGAGUGCAAAACGUGUCUAAGAUUUCAAACCGACCAAACAAUACUCAAGCGUAAGUUCGUAACUCACAACCUAAAAAAAUUUCAAAAAGUGUGAAAAGAAGUACUUCAAGACCCAACAUUUCAAUCCAAUGUGUAAGUGCAACAAACUUAGUUUCAAACCAACGCAAAAUGUGUUUAAAACGACCUAACAAUCCUUAAGUGUAAGUUCGUAACUCACAAACUAACAAAAAAAUCAAAAUGCGUGAAAAAUGCACUUUGAGACCUAAAAUGGCAACCAAGUAUGCAAGUGAAACAAACUUAGUCUUAAACAAAUCUAAAAAAAUUUCAAACCGUGUGUUAAGUAUCACUUGAACUUUCAGAACGACCUAAGAAUGUUUAUUUGUAAAUUCAUCACUCAUAACCUACCAAAAAGUUCAAGAAGUAUGGAAAAAAAGGAAACACUACACGACCCAAAAUGGCAACCAAGUGCGCAAGUGCAACUAACUUAGUUCCAAACCAACCUAAAAAGUGGUCAAGGCGUGUCUAAGUAUCACUUGGACUUUCAAAACAACCUAACAAAGUUUAAGUGUAAGUUGGUAACCCAUAGCCUACCAAAAAGUCCAAAAAGUGUGAAAAGGACACUUCAAGACCGAAAAUGGCAACCAAUUGGAUAAGGUCAACAAACUUAGUUUCAAACCAACCUAAACCGAGUUAAAAACGUGUCUAAGUAUAACUUGAACUUUUAAAAUGUCCUAAAACAGCUUACGUGUAGGAUCGUAAUUCAUAACCUACGAAAAAAGUUCAAAUAUUGUGAAAAAAGCACUACAAGACCCAAAAUGGCAAUCAAGUGUGUAAGUGCAACAAACUUAGUUCAACCCAACCUAAAACGUGCUCAAAACGUGUCUAGGUACUACUUGAGUUUUCAAAACGACCUAGAAAAUCCUAAGUGUAAGUUCGUAACUCAUAAUCUACCAGAAAGUUUGAAAAAAGCAUUUCAAGACCAAAAAUGACAACCAAGUGCAACAAACUCAAUCUAACCUAAAAUGUAUUCAAAACGCGUGUAACUAUCACUUGAAUUUUCAAAACGACCCAGCAAUGCUUAAGUAUAAGUUUGUAAUUCACAACCUACCAAAAUUUCAAAAAAGUACUUCAAGACCGAACAUGUCAAUCAAUUGUGUUUAAAACUUAGUUUCAAACCAACCUAAAACGAGUUCAAAACGUGUCUAAGUAUCACUUGAACUUUCAAAACGACCUAAAAAAGCUUACGUGUAGGUUCGUUACUCAAAACCUACGAAAAAAUUUCAAAUAUUGUGAAAAAAGCACUACAAGACCCAAAAUGGCAACCAAGUGUGUAAGUGGAACAAACUUAGUGCAAACCAACCUAAAACGUGUCUAUGUAUUACUUGAGUUUUCAAAACCACCAAGCAAAUCCUAAGUGUAAGUUCGUAACUCAUAAUCUACCAAAAAGGUUGAAAAAAGCAUAUCAAGACAAAAAAUCACAACCAAGUGCAACAAACUCAAUCUAACCUAAAAUGUAUUCAAAACGUGUGUAAGUAUCACUUGAAUAUUCAAAAACGACCAAGCAAUGCUUAAGUGUAAGUUUGUAACUCACAACCUACCAAAAUUUCAAUAUGUGUGAAAAAAGUACUUCAAGACCCAACAUGUCAAUCAAAUGUGUUUAAAACUUAGUUUCAAAUAGUGUGAAAAAAGCACUACAAGACCCAAAAUGGCAACCAAGUGUGCAAGUGCAACAAACUUAGAUCAAACCAACCUAAAACAUGAUCAAAACGUGGCUAGGUAUUACUUGAGUUUUAAAAACGACCUAGCAAAAUCCUAAGUGUAAGUUCGUAACUCAUAAUCUACCAAAAAGGUUGAAAAAAGCAUUUCAAGACCAAAAAUGACCAUCAAGUGCAACAAAUCAAUCUAACCUAAAAUGUAAUCAAAACGUGUGUAAGUAUCACUUGAAUUUUCAAAACCACCAAGUAAUGCUUAAGUGUAAGUUUGUAACUCACAACCUACCAAAAUUUCAAAAAGUGUGAAAAAAGUACUUCAAGACCCAACAUGUCAAUCAAAUGUGUUUAAAAGUUAGUUUCAAACCAACCUAAAACAUGUUCAAAACGUGUCUAAGUUUCACUUCAACUUUCAAAACGACCUAAAACAGCUUACGUGUAGAUUCAUAACUCAUAACUUACGAAAAAAAGUUCAAAUAGUGUGAAAAAAGCACUACAAGACCCAAAAUGGCAACCAAGUGUGUAAGUGCAACAAACUUAGUUCAAACCAACCUAAAACAUGCUCAAAACGUGUCUAGGUACUACUUGAGUUUUCAAAACGACCUAGCAAAUCCUAAGUGUAAGUUCGUAACUCAUAAUGUACCAAAAAGGUUGAAAAAAGCAUUUCAAGACCAAAAAUGACCAUCAAGUGCAACAACUCAAUCUAACCUAAAAUGUAAUCAAAACGUGUGUAAGUAUCACUUGAAUUUUCAAAACGACCAAGUAAUGCUUAAGUGUAAGUUUGUAACUCACAACCUACCAAAAUUUCAAAAAGUGUGAAAAAAGUACUUCAAGACCCAACAUGUCAAUGAAAUGUGUUUAAAAAUUUAGUUUCAAACAAACCUAAAACGAGUUCAAAACGUGUCUAAGUUUCACUUGAACUUUCAAAACGACCUAAAACAACUUACGUGUAGAUUCCUAACUGAUAACUUACGAAAAAAAUUCAAAUAGUGUGAAAAAAGCACUACAAGACCCAAAAUGGCAACCAAGUGUGUAAGGGCAACAAGCUUAGUUCAAACCAACCUAAAACAUGCUCAAAACGUUUCUAGGUAGUACUUGAGUUUUCAAAACGACCUAGCAAAUCCUAAGUGUAAGUUCGAAACUCAUAAUCUACCAAAAAGGUUGAAAAAGGCAUUUCAAGACCAAAAAUGACAACCAAGUGCAACAAACUCAAUCUAACCUAAAAUGUAUUCAAAACGUGUGUAAGUAUCACUUGAAUUUUCAAAACGACCAAGCAAUGCUUAAGUGUAAGUUUGUAACUCACAACCUACCAAAAUUUCAAAAAGUAUGAAAAAAGUACUUCAAGACCCAACAUGUCAAUCAAAUGUGUGUAAAACUUAGUUUCAAACCAACCUAAAACGAGUUCAAAACGUGUCUAAGUUUCAACUUCAACUUUCAAAACGACCUAACAAAUAUUCAAUACAAGUUCAUAAGUCAUAACCUAGCAAAAAGUUCAAAAUUUUUGAAAAAGACACUCCAAAACCCAAAAUGUCAAGUGUGUAAGUGCAACGAACUUAGUUCUAUACAAACCUAACAAGUAUUCAAAACACGUAUAAGUUUUCAAACAACCUAACAACGCUUAAGUGUAAGUUUAUAACUCAUAACUUACCAAAAAUUUCAAAAAGUGUGAAAAAAAAUCUUUCAAGACUCAAAAUGGCAACCAUGGCUGUAUGUAAAACUAACUUAGUUUGUAACAACCUAAAAGGUGUUCAAAAAAUGUUUAAGUAUCACUCGAACCUUAAAAAACGACCUAAUAAUGCUUUAGUCUUACUUCAUUACUCAUAACCUACCAAAAUGUUUAAAAAAUGUAGAAAAAGCACUCCAAAAUCCAAAAUGGCAACCAAGUGUGUAAGUGCAACAAACUUAGUCUCAACUUUAAAAUUAGUGCGAGUUGGGAAAUGUAUUAACUCAAGCAUGAUGUACAAACUUGAAACGACUUAAAUAUUUAUUCACCAUCACAUAAAAACAGUAAUUAAAUAUAGAUAACAUGUGUAAAUAAAGGGAGAAUCACCUUUCUAGCAGUAGCUUUUAGAGUAAGACCAAACACCAUCCUCCUACUUGUAAAUCUGCUCGAUUGUCUACUUUGUUCUACAUUCGUCAUUUCACCGUCUCAGGCCAUCCAUUGAAUUGGCCACCCAGCCUUGGCAUACAAGAGUAUGUCUCAGCCUGUUAACAAAUACCACUAAAACUAAGCAAGACAAAGAAAAAAGUUUUCAAAAAAAUUACCUAACUUUUAGGUCUUCAUGUGACCUUUAUGUUCUUCUGUCUUCUCCUUCAACUCUUUGACAGAUUGCUGAAAUUAUGUGUUUCUGCAAUGUUUACCAGACAUGAAAGAUUCAUUACGAAAAUAAAUACCAUGAAUACAAACCAUGAAGAAAUAGUAAAACAGUCAAUACAAGAAGAAAAAAGUUCACUUGAAAACAACCUAAAACAGUAUCACUUGAACAAAAUGUGUCUAAGUAUCACUUGAACUUUCAAAACGACCUAAAACAGCUUACGUUUAGGUUCGUAACUCAUAACCUACGAAAAAAGUUCAAAUAGUGUGAAAAAAGCACUACAAGACCCAAAAUGGCUACCAAGUGUGUAAGUGUAACAAACUUAGUUCAAACCAACCUAGAACGUGCUCAAAACGUGUCUAGGUAUUACUUGAGUUUUCAAAACGACCUAGCAAAUCCUAAAUGUAGGUUCGUAACUCAUAAUCUACCAAAAAGGUUGAAAAAAGCAUUUCAAGACCAAAAAUGACAACCAAGUGCAACAAACUCAAUCUAACCUAAAAUGUAUUCAAAACGUGUGUACGUAUCACUUAAACUUUCAAAACGACCAAAAACAAUGCUUAAGUGUAAGUUUGUAACUCACAAUCUACCAAAAUUUCAAAAAGUGUAAAAAAAGCACUUCAAGGCCGAAAACGGCAACGAAGUACGUUAAGUGCAACGGACUUAGUUUCAAGCCAUCCUAAAAAGAGUGCAAAACGUGUCUAAGAUUUCAAACCGACCAAACAAUACUCAAGCGUAAGUUCGUAACUCACAACCUAAAAAAAUUUCAAAAAGUGUGAAAAGAAGUACUUCAAGACCCAACAUUUCAAUCCAAUGUGUAAGUGCAACAAACUUAGUUUCAAACCAACGCAAAAUGUGUUUAAAACGACCUAACAAUCCUUAAGUGUAAGUUCGUAACUCACAAACUAACAAAAAAAUCAAAAUGCGUGAAAAAUGCACUUUGAGACCUAAAAUGGCAACCAAGUAUGCAAGUGAAACAAACUUAGUCUUAAACAAAUCUAAAAAAAUUUCAAACCGUGUUUAAGUAUCACUUGAACUUUCAGAACGACCUAAGAAUGUUUAUUUGUAAAUUCAUCACUCAUAACCUACCAAAAAGUUCAAGAAGUAUGGAAAAAAAAGGAAACACUACACGACCCAAAAUGGCAACCAAGUGCGCAAGUGCAACAAACUUAGUUCCAAACCAACCUAAAAAGUGGUCAAGGCGUGUCUAAGUAUCACUUGGACUUUCAAAACAACCUAACAAAGUUGUUCAACACCAGCAACCUAGGCUAACGGAAGAGUUUGAGUUACAAUUAUGGCCGGAAACAGUGUUGGGAGUCCGUUGGAAUCGGGAAUUGGGAGGAAAUGAAUGGUUAAUUAAGUGGAAAGGGCUGCCGCGGCAGUGAAACAACUUGGGAAUCUGUUUUCCAAAUGAACCAACAAUUCCCUGACUUGCACCUUGAGGACAAGGUGAACCUGGAACCGAGGGGUAUUGUAAGGCCCCCUAUUAUCCAUACAUACAAAAGGAGGGGUAAAAACGUAAAAGCUCACGCAGCAGAAAAGGGGAGAAUAUUAGGAAAAGAACAUGAGAGUGGGGCCCACGGGAAGAAUGAGAAAAGAGCUAUAAAUAAGGCCUUAUCGGGAUUGGGGGCUAGGUUAACUUUUUGUCUUCAUUUGGUCUGUAGAGGCUGCUAGGUCUAGGAAGGACUACUAUCUUUUCCUGGGGAGGUUUGACAUGAUAUUAUCAUCUUUAUUGCUUUCUAUUGAAAGGAGAGACAACGAGUUCACACCAAUUUACGUGGAAACCCGAGUACCGGGAGAAAAACCACGAUUGUUUGUGUUGUUAUUAUUUUCUAAUGAAUAAAGCAAUAGGUACAAGGGAGAAUAAAUAGAGUACACAAUGGAAUAAAAAAGGAAAAGAUUUAGGAAAAUAAGGAAUACAUUCCCAUAAUCUUUCCAUAAUUAUUCUAGGAUUCUAACAAGGAAAAAGCCUAGAAAAAAAGGAAAGAAUUCCAACACUCCCCCUCAAGUUGGGACGUAAAUAUCAAUGAGGCCCAACUUGCUAACGCAGAAGUCGAAGUUUGGUCUGAGAAGCCCUUUGGUAAGAACAUCAGCAACCUGUUGACUCGAAGGGAUGUACGGAAUGCAUAUGCUCCCACUGUCAAGUUUUUCUUUGAUAAAAUGUCGAUCAAUCUCAACAUGUUUAGUUCUAUCAUGUUGAACAGGGUUGUUAGCAAUACUAAUAGCGGCUUUAUUAUCACAGAAAAGCUUCAAUGGUGUCUCACAUUCCUGAUGAAGAUCUGUCAAAACUUUCUGAAGCCAAAUUUCCUCACAUAUUCCUAAACUCAUAGCUCUAUAUUCAGCCUCAGCGCUGCUCCUGGCCACAACACUUUGCUUCUUACUCCUCCAAGUUACAAGAUUGCCCCAAACAAAGGUACAAUAACCAGAGGUAGAUUUUCUGUCAACAACAGAUCCUGCCCAAUCCGAGUCAGUGUAUGCCUCAAUGGUCUUUCUGUCUGUUUUUCUAAACAUCAGCCCUUUACCAGGUGUUGAUUUUAAGUAUCUCAAGAUUCUGUUGACAGCUUUCAUGUGUUCCUCAUUAGGGGUCUGCAUAAACUGGCUGACAACACUCACAGCAAAGGAAAUAUCAGGACGAGUAUGAGAUAAGUAAAUUAAUUUACCCACGAGGCGUUGAUACUGUUCUUUAUCAACUGGAACUUGAUCAUCAGAGUUUCCUAGUUUGCAGUUGAAUUCAAUAGGAGUGUCAGUGGGACGACAUCCUAACAUACCUGUCUCAGUUAACAAAUCAAGGAUGUAUUUUCUUUGAGAUACGGAGAUACCUUCUUUAGAUCUGGCCACCUCCAUUCCAAGGAAAUAUUUCAAAUUUCCCAAAUCCUUGAUUUCAAACUCAUCGCCCAUUCUCUGCUUUAGUUGACUGAUUUCUGCCUGAUCAUCUCCAGUCAAAACAAUGUCAUCCACAUAAACUAUUAGAACAGCAAUCUUUCCUGUUUUGGAAACCUUUGUAAAUAAAGUAUGAUCAGAGUGUCCCUGCCUGUACCCUUGGGACUUGACAAAGGUAGUGAAUCUGUCAAACCAUGCUCUGGGAGACUGUUUCAGACCAUAUAUAGAUUUCUGGAGUUUACACACAUGCUGACCAAACUGGGCUUCAAAUCCAGGCGGAGGGCUCAUGUAGACUUCCUCUACGAGGUCUCCAUUCAAAAAGGCAUUCUUAACAUCCAGCUGAUAUAAAGGCCAAUCUUUGUUCACAGCAACAGAUAGCAGAACUCUAAUAGUAUUCAACUUAGCAACUGGAGAAAAAGUUUCUGAAUAGUCAAUACCAUAGGUUUGAGUAAAUCCCUUCGCAACUAACCUUGCCUUGUGUCUGUCAAGAGUACCAUCAGCUUUGUAUUUGAGAGAGAACACCCAUUUGCAUCCCACAGUUUUGUGUCCCUUAGGUAGAGUACAAAUGUCCCAAGUACUAUUCUUUUCAAGAGCUUUCAUCUCUUCCAUGACAGCAUUCUUCCAUUCAGGAUACUUUAAAGCAGUGUAGAUAUCUUUUGGUAUUAUGGUAGAGUCAAGGCUUGCUGUAAAAGCUCUGAACUGAGGAGAGAGACUAUUGUAGGAAACAUAAUUGCAAAUGGGGUGUUUAGUACAAGACCUGGUGCCUUUUCUCAGAGCAAUGGGAAUGUCAAGAGAGGAAUCAUACUCAUCUGAUUUUCCUGUAUGACCCUGUUCCGCUUCAUUAUUACGGGUUUCUAUUCUGACCUCAAUCUCAUCACCACUGUCCUUUUCUUCCACGUUUUCAAGAACAGCAACAUUAGACCUGUCAUUCUCACUUAUCAUAUUCUUAGUACAGGGUUCAGUAGGGUUUUCCAUACCUUGAUCUCGAGGAGGUUCAGAGUCUUGGACUGGAGCCGGCGGCUGACUAGUAGGGGAACCGACUUCCUUUUUGUGAUUCCUCCUGUAGUACGUUUUCCAGGGGACUUGGUUUGUGGGUAGGACUAUGGAAUGAGGAAUGAUGUUAGACACAACACUAGGAGUGGGUUCGAUGAAUUCAAAGGUGUUGUUAGACUCUUCACUCACACUCUCCCCCUGAAGAUGGCUAACGGGAAAGUAGGGUCGAUCCUCACAGAAAGUAACAUCCAUAGUGACAAAGUAUUUUCUGGAUGGUGGGUGAAAACAUUUAUAACCACGCUGGUGAGGGGGAUACCCAACAAACACACAUGCCUGAGCCCGAGGGGUAAAUUUGGUUUGAUUAGGGCCAAAAUUAUGGACAUAAGCGGUACACCCAAACACACGAAGAGGAACCUCAGAAACAUGACGAGUCGAUGGGUAGGACUCCUUAAGACAAUCUAAGGGAGUUUGAAAAUGAAAGAAUACGGAGAAGGCAUUCUAUUGAUUAAAUGAGCUGCUGUAAGAAUAGCAUCUCCCCACAAGUAUGAAGGAAGGGAAGUAGAAAGCCUAAGGGAACGGGCUACUUCCAGAAGGUGACGGUUUUUUCGGCUCGGCCACUCCAUUUUGUUUGAGGAGUGUAGGCGCACGAGUUUUGAUGAACAAUCCCCUUGGAAGCAAGAAAUUCACUAAGGUUAUGGUUUUGGAAUUCCCGACCAUUAUCACUCCGAAGAAUAGCAAUUUUUUGAUGGAAUUGUGUUUCAAUGGUGUGAUAGAAAUUUUGAAACAUAGAGGAAACCUCAGAUAUUUAUCAGUGAUAAGGUAGACCCAGGUAAGACGGGUAUGAUCAUCAAUGAAGGUUACGAACCACCGUUUUCCAGAUGAGGUUGUUAUCUUGGAUGGUCCCCAGACAUCACUAUGAACAAGAGUGAAGGGUUGGGUUGGUUUGUAUGGUUUGUGAGGGAAAAGAGACUCGAUGUUGUUUGGCCUGAAAUACACACAUCACAAGAUAAGGUAGUCAUCUCAACUUUAGAGAAGAGAUGUGGAAAUAAAUGUUUCAUAUAUUGAAAGUUAGGGGUGGCCUAAACGAAAAUGCCACAACAUACAAUCUUGUUCAGAAGUAGUGAAAUAGGAAGAUAAGAAGGCUAGUCCUAGGAAUGCUACUAGAGGAGGUAUCGUCAUCAAGGAGGUAGAGUCCCCUACUAUGCCGGGCAGUGCCAAUCAUCCUCCCCGAGCUCAAGUCCUGAAAAGAGACAGAAUCAGGUAAGAAUAUUGCUUUGCAGUUUAACUCAUGAGUGAUCUUGCUUAUCGAAAGCAAAUUAUAAGAUAGUUUGGGCACAUGCAAAAACAUUAUGUAAAGAGAGCCCUGCACAAGGAGAAAUCUUCCCCUUUCCAGCAACGGGGGCCAAGGAGCCAUCUGCAAUUCUAAUUGUCUCGUUCCCAGCACACAGGAAUGUAAGAUACAAAAUGUUUAGAGGACCCAGUCAAAUGAUCUGUGGCACCAGAAUCCAGAAUCCAGGGGUUCUUCCCAUCAAUACUAACAAGACCGAAGGAAUGAGGUAUACCUGAUUGGACAAUGGCACCUAAAGUGGCAAGACUGAGAUCAGUUUGGUUUUUGUGUGGAUCGGAUUGUUGAGGAGGUUCAGCAGACUCACUCACAUACACCCGCCCUGUGUUCUGUUUGUCGUUGGAAGGGCGUUUCUUACUUCCUGGGGGACGACCAUGUAACUUCCAACAUUGUUCUUUGGUAUGCCAUUGUUUUUUGCAAUGCUCGCAGACAGGAAUUGGUUUUCCAUUAUGCUUGUCACUGCUACUGUUAGAAGAUCUUGCACUAAAAGCAGCAGAGUCAAUAGUAGGGGUUGCGGAAAUAUUCAUAGCACUUGUGCGAUCUUCCUCGAGGCGGAUUUCAGAGCAAACUUCCAUCAGGGAGGGAAUCGGUCUUUGACCUAGUAUACGCCCUCGAACUACAUCAAACUUAGGAUUAAGACCAGCAAGAAAGUCAUAAAUCCUGUCAUUCUCUUCAAUUCUCGAGUACUGUACACCAUCAGUGGGAUCACGCCAGACUAGUUCUCUGCAUAGGUCCAUUUCUUGCCAUAUAAGAGAAAGCUUAUUGAAAAAGGAUGUGACAUCCAUGGUUCCUUGCUUGCAUUCAUGAACUUGCUUUCUCAGCGUGUAUAGACGAGAGGCAUUCUGACGUUUUGAGUAAAGUGUCUGGGCUGUGUCCCAAAUAUCCUUGGCUGUUGCAGCAAACAAUAACGGCUUGCCAAUUUGAGGUUCCAUACUAUUGAUCAAUAUGGAUCGAAGAAUAGAGUCUUCUGCCUUCCAAUAUCGUUCAUGUGGGUCGCCCGGUUGGGGGCGAGGUAUUUCCCCUGUCAGAAAGCUAAAUUUUUGUCGUCCUUCGAGGACCAUCUUUACUGACUGAGACCAUGAGAAAUAGUUGUUGCCAUUCAACUUUUCUCCUGAAAGAUGAUACAUGGAAGACUGAGCCACUGUAUUAGUCAAAUAAGGAGAGGAUACAUUAGGGAACGAGUUUACCGGAUUCUCAGAAUACAUCGGUAGAGUGGAUGUCGUCCCUAAGGUAGCCUCAAGUGAUGCUAUCUGUUGUCGAAGCCCUUCCAAUUGUUGAUGAACUAUUCCCGAGGAAGCUUGCACGUUACGGUUGGAAUAUGCCGAAGAUUCACCAACCUCAAAUGUUGAGUGAAUUUGAGAGUUUUUAACAUCGGGAUGGUAGCUAGGAUCAUUGGGUGGCUGGCCAUACAGAUUUGACGGCAGAAGCGGUGGUAGCGCGAUUGGAAUUAGAUGGCAGAACAUAAAUCGGGGCGUGGGGAGCAAUAUAGGCCGCGGACGAAGAAAAGGGUUGGACAGAUGGGAUGGUCGGCGCCGUCUGAGGAAGAAAACCAGGCGCGUGGUGGUCAGGCGGCGGCGCUGCGUGGUCCGGUGACGGCGCGGACGGCUGCGGUAAUGACGAAAAAUUAUUUUCGGACGUUUUCUGUAGCCGGCUUAAUAAUUCGUCCAUGGCAGCACUCAUCCGAGCAUCGAUGGCAGCAGCUACGGCAGCACUAAAAUUGAUGGCUGUCCCUUCUGUUUGAUUUUCAUAAGUGGUUUGGUUUUUUUUGGUUUCUAGGGUGUUUUCAUUGUCCCGCGAUAAUACUAUAUUGAAAGGAGAGACAACGAGUUCACACCAAUUUACGUGGAAACCCGAGUACCGGGAGAAAAACCACGAUUGUUUGUGUUGUUAUUAUUUUCUAAUGAAUAAAGCAAUAGGUACAAGGGAGAAUAAAUAGAGUACACAAUGGAAUAAAAAAGGAAAAGAUUUAGGAAAAUAAGGAAUACAUUCCCAUAAUCUUUCCAUAAUUAUUCUAGGAUUCUAACAAGGAAAAAGCCUAGAAAAAAAGGAAAUAAUUCCAACACUUUCUUUUAUAUUUCCUUCUACUGUAUCUCUUGGCAUUUAUAUAUAAAUAAAGAUCUACAAGGCUCUUAAAUUCUUGCUUGAACAGAGAGAGGUACAGCCCCAAUUCCAGAAAUGGUUGACAAAGCUCCUUGGAUAUGAUUUCGAGAUUUUAUAUCAACCGCGAUCUUCAGAACAAGGCAGCGGACGCCCUAUCUAGAAUGGAGCAACCGGUGGAGCUGCACAGCUUGACAACUACUGGAAUCAUUGAUGUGAAACUAAUCGAGCAGGAAGUUGAGAAUGAUGCUGAACUUAAGAAAAUUAUGGAAAAUCUGAAGAAAAAUGCAGAAGAAGGAAGCAAGUUUCAAGUGGAAAAAGGAAGAUUGCUCUAUAAGGGGAGAAUGGUAGUAUCUCAAACUUCUACACUUAUACCCAAGAUCCUACAUACUUUCCACGAUUCUAUCCUCGGGGGACAUUCUGGAUUUUUAAGAACUUACAAGAGGAUCAGUGGAGAACUAUAUUGGAGGGGUAUGAAGGCUGAAAUAAAGAAAUAUGUGGAACAAUGCGAGAUCUGCCAGAGAAACAAAUACGAAGCAACCAAACCAGCUGGGGUACUUCAACCAAUUCCAAUUCCUGACAGAAUCUUAGAAGAUUGGACCAUGGACUUUAUUGAGGGGUUGCCACUAGCUGGAGGGGUUAAUGUGAUCAUGGUGGUAGUUGAUCGGCUGAGUAAGUAUUCUUACUUUAUAUCAUUGAGACAUCCGUUUUCAGCCAAGCAAGUUGCUUCCAUAUUCAUCGACAGAAUAGUAAGCAAGCACGGCAUUCCUAAGUCGAUUAUCACAGAUCGGGAUAAAAUCUUUCUUAGUAAUUUUUGGAAGGAACUGUUUGCAACCAUGGGAACUAUUCUAAAGAGGAGUACCGCGUUUCACCCACAAACUGAUGGGCAGACAGAAAGGGUAAAUAGAUGUCUCGAAACUUAUCUGCGAUGCUUCUGUAAUGAACAACCAAAAAAAUGGGAUAGACUGAUUCCAUGGGCAGAAUUGUGGUAUAAUACCACCUUCCAUGCAUCCACCAAAAUGACCCCUUUUCAGACGGUAUACCGCAGACCGCCUCCUCCCCUGUUAUCCUAUGGUUACAAGAAAACUCCUAAUAAUGAGGUUGACACGCUGCUGAAGGAACGUGACUUAGCCAUCAAUGCCUUAAAAGAACACCUGUGUGUAGCCUAGAACAGGAUGAAGAAAAUGGCUGAUCGAAAUAGAAGAGAGUUAAAAUUUAAGGUAGGAGAUGAAGUCUACUUGAAAUUGAGACCUUACCGGCAACGCUCCUUGGCUCGGAAGAAGUGUGAAAAGUUAGCACCUAAAUAUUACGGACCCUACAAAAUUACUGAAGAAAUAGGAGCAGUUGCGUACAGAUUGAUGUUACCGCCGGAAGCCAGUAUCCACAAUGUGUUCCAUAUUUCUCAGUUAAAACUGAAACUGGGUAGUCAACAAGCUGUUCAACACCAGCAACCUAGGCUAACGGAAGAGUUUGAGUUACAAUUAUGGCCGGAAACAGUGUUGGGAGUCCGUUGGAAUCGGGAAUUGGGAGGAAAUGAAUGGUUAAUUAAGUGGAAAGGGCUGCCGGACAGUGAAACAACUUGGGAAUCUGUUUUCCAAAUGAACCAACAAUUCCCUGACUUGCACCUUGAGGACAAGGUGAACCUGGAACCGAGGGGUAUUGUAAGGCCCCCUAUUAUCCAUACAUACAAAAGGAGGGGUAAAAACGUAAAAGCUCACGCAGCAGAAAAGGGGAGAAUAUUAGGAAAAGAACAUGAGAGUGGGGCCCACGGGGAAGAAUGAGAAAAGAGCUAUAAAUAAGGCCUUAUCGGGAUUGGGGGCUAGGUUAACUUUUUGUCUUCAUUUGGUCUGUAGAGGCUGCUAGGUCUAGGAAGGACUACUAUCUUUUCCUGGGGAGGUUUGACAUGAUAUUAUCAUCUUUAUUGCUUUCUUUUAUAUUUCCUUCUACUGUAUCUCUUGGCAUUUAUAUAUAAAUAAAGAUCUACAGAGUGCUGUCUCUGUUUGCCAACUGUUUGGGUAAUUUAGUAUUUUAUUUGUGGAGUCUCUACAAAAUUAUAGCAAUUCAUUGCAAAUAAGAUGCAGUACCUUGAUUUUAUGGUUAAAGGUUCCAAUUGUUUUUUUCUUUUUAAGCUCUUAUUUAGAAGGGAUUCACCUGUUACAAGUUGAAAUGUGAGUUGGAAAAAUUGGACAAGAAGUUAUAACCUUACAAGAAAAUGAUUCUUAUAGAAAGAACUAACUUGAUUCAAGCAAAAUAUCUUCAAGAACAAAAUUGCAAUUACACAAACACUUAUUAACCCAAAUAAAAAAUGCAAAUCAGACUAUUGAGUACAAUGAAAUACAACAUGAUAACAAGACAGAGAUGCAACAUAUACAUAAACAUACAAAUCAGAAAAGAAGUUGAUUCUUGACAACAAAGUAAAAUAAAUACAAAACAUAAUAAAUUUCUAUGACCAUUAGGACUCUGUAGAGAAAUGCCUACUUUCGACAUAAGCAUUUCAUCAAAUUCCAUCUAAAGCGGAGAGGUUGCCCAUGCAAGCUCUGAUACCAGGCAAUCUCGACGCGCAUUUUACUUGACCUAAGCAGCUGGCUUGACUCCCUCUUUUUUUUCUCCCUCCCUCUCUACCGGCUGCCGUGCUAGGUGAAGAACUAUAAGGACCUACUAGGCGGGUCGGGUUUUGCUUAGGCAAGAAAAGCGGAGAGGAUCCCCACGAAAACUCUGAAACCGGGGGAUCUCGACACGCAUUUUACUUGACCUAAGCGGCUGGCUUGCGCUCCCUCUUUUUUUUCUCUCUCCCUCUCUACAGGCUGCCAUGUUGAGUGAGGAACUCUAAGGACCUACUAGGCGGGGUCGGGUUUUGCUUAGGCAAGAAAAGCGGAGAGGAUCCCCACGAAAAUUCUGAAACCGGGGGAUCUCGGCGCGCAUUUUACUUCACCUAAGCGGCUGGCUUGGCUCCCUCUUUUUUUUCUCUCUCCCUCUCUACCGGCUGCCAUGCUGGGUGAAAAACUCUAAGGACCUACUAGGCGGGUCGGGUUUUGCUUAGGCAAGAAAAGCGGAGAGGAUCCCCACGAAAAUUCUGAAACCGGGGGAUCUCGACACGCAUUUUACUUGACCUAAGCGGCUGGCUUGGCUCCCUCUUUUUUUUCUCUCUCCCUCUCUACAGGCUGCCAUGUUGGGUGAGAAACUCUAAGGACCUACUAGGCGGGUCGGGUUUUGCUUAGGCAAGAAAAGCGGAGAGGAUCCCCACGAAAAUUCUGAAACCGGGGGAUCUCGGCGCGCAUUUUACUUGACCUAAAGCGGCUGGCUUGGCUCCCUCUUUUUUUUCUCUCUCCAUCUCUACCGGCUGCCAUGCUGGGUGAAAAACUCUAAGGACCUACUAGGCGGGUCGGGUUUUGCUUAGGCAAGAAAAGCGGAGAGGAUCCCCACGAAAAUUCUGAAAACCGGGGAUCUCGGCGCGCAUUUUACUUGACCUAAGCGGCUGGCUUGGCUCCCUCUUUUUUUUCUCUCUCCCUCUCUCUACCGGCUGCCAUGCUGGGUGAAAAACUCUAAGGACCUACUAGGCGGGUCGGGUUUUGCUUAGGCAAGAAAAGCGGAGAGGAUCCCCACGAAAAUUCUGAAACCGGGGGAUCUCGGCGCGCAUUUUACUUGACCUAAGCGGCUGGCUUGGUUCCCUCUUUUUUUUUUCUCUCCCUCUCUACCGGCUGCCAUGAUGGGUGAAGAACUCUAAGAACCUACUAGGCGGGGUCGGGUUUUGCUUAGGCAAGAAAAGCGGAGAGGAUCCCCACGAAAAUUCUGAAACCGGGGGAUCUCGGCGCGCAUUUUACUUGACCUAAAGCGCGCUGGCUUGGCUCCCUCUUUUUUUUCUCUCUCCCUCUCUAACCGGCUGCCAUGCUGGGUGAAAAACUCUAAGGACCUACUAGGCGGGGUCGGGUUUUGCUUAGGCAAAGAAAAGCGGAGAGGAUCCCCACGAAAAUUCUGAAACCGGGGGAUCUCGGCGCGCAUUUUACUUGACCUAAGCGGCUGGCUUGGUUCCCUCUUUUUUUUCUCUCUCCCUCUCUACCGGCUGCCAUGCUGGGUGAAAAACUCUAAGGACCUACUAGGCGGGUCGGGUUUUUGCUUAGGCAAGAAAAGCGGAGAGGAUCCCCACGAAAAUUCUGAAACCGGGGGAUCUCGGCGCGCAUUUUACUUGACCUAAGCGGCUGGCUUGGCUCCCUCUUUUUUUUUUUCUCUCCCUCUCUACCUGCUGCCAUGAUGGGUGAAGAACUCUAAGAACCUACUAGGCGGGGUCGGAUUUUGCUUAGGCAAGAAAAGCGGAGAGGAUCCCCACGAAAAUUCUGAAACCGGGGGAUCUCGGCGCGCAUUUUACUUGACCUAAGCGGCUGGCUUGGCUCCCUCUUUUUUUUCUCUCUCCCUCUCUACCGGCUGCCAUGCUGGGUGAAGAACUCUAGUGACCCACUAGGCGGGGGUCGGGUUUUGCAACUCUAAGCAGCUUGGUCGUAUUGUUUUGUUUUUAUCGGCUGUUAUGUUGGGUGAAGAACUCUAAGAACUUGCCGACUUUGCUUUCUACUUGACCUAACAAUCAUAUUUUGCUUUCAAACAAUCUUAUACAAAUGUGUAUGGCCAAAAGAGGGAUUUAAAAUUAAUAUAAAAAAGGCAGUAGAAUAUGGCAAAAAAGGGGAUUAAAAUUGAGAUAAAAAAGGCAACCGCACAUAUUAUUAUGUACAUAAUUCACAAUAUUCAGAAAAUGAACCAAGUGUUCUACUCAUUUCUAAGCUAUCAAUAUAUGCAUUUUCAACAUAUGUAACAUAUUCAAAUAACAAAUACAAUCACAAAUCCGAGCUCCGUUCUCAUGGGUUAGGCAUAUAUGCUUUUUUAUGCUAAAAAGCGAAGUAGACAUGGUACUUAUUCUAAGCAUAGAGCAUUGCAAAAGUUUCUAAAUUUUGACAUUUUUAGCAAAAUUUGCAAAAUGAAAAUUUCCCAAAGGACAUGGAAUGUGCAAGGCUACAACCCCACCCCCCACUUAAAAAAUUUGCAUUGUCCUCAAAGCAUUUUAAGCAAGAUUCUACGGAUGGAAAGAAAAAAAAAAGAGAACAGAAGACCUCCCCUUGUAACCUAGUUUCUUCAUGGAAGCUUGCUUGCAAAGAUCCCAAGUUUGGUUAUGUUUCAUUUUCCUUUAUUCCUACAAAAAGAAAACAAGAAUUUCCAUCGCAUUUUAUUAAAGAGGUUAAACUAAAAAUUUUAGAAAAAUGUGCAGAAUUGUUUAAGCUCGGUUGCAUUUUCUAAGCAUCACUUGAAUUAUUAAAACGACCUAACAAAUAUUCAAUACAAGUUCGUAAUUCAUAACCUACCAAAAAGUUCAAAAAGAUUGUUGUAAAUUACAUACAUCAAUAAACUUACUUCAGCAUUCAUUUGGGGUAUUGUAGGUUCAUAUUAAAAAGUAGUCAUUCAUGUCGUGAUGCAAAGGCCCUUUUUAUGUAUCUAAAACUAAAAUCACGAAAAUCAUCGUGGACAUGCAGCACAACAAACUGAAUUUCCAUGGGAAGCCUUUGCUAACAAAAUGGUUGACAAUAAUUACUCAGACAAGAGAGAAUGACUAUAAUUAAUUAACAGAAGUACAAAUCAAUAUAGGUGCACAACCACCAAGCCCCCAACAAAAGGAACAAUAAAUUUCAAUAACAAAAGAAAGGUAGUAUCAGGACUAUCCUUACUUGUUAUCGAAGAAGAUACCUUGGCUCUGGUAAGCCCAAUGCUCUGCCUUACAACGUUCAAUUACCUCAGUACUGCAGCGUUUCUUCAAAGUUUGGGAAUCUACCUAAAACAUAAAUAUAUAUUCCAACUUGAAAACCUCCAUGUCAGAAACUUUACUUUAUUUAUCAAACCAGAUGCUAUGCAAGAAUUAGUUAGCAGAAAUACAACAUAAAUAGUAAUGAUAUUCUUUGGGGAGGGGAUAAAAGCAUCUUUCAUCUUAGAAAUAAGCUUAGCAGUUAGCACUAACCUUUAUAUAAGAAGUUAACACCGGUUUGAUUGCUUCUUAAAGUUCAGCUACGAAAUCUGGUAAAGAGAAAGACCUAAUCCAUAAUGUUAAAGAGGAAAAGACCAAGUCAGAUUCCUUUAUUCAAACAGGUUAGUAUCACAUCUCCAAAGGAAAAAACUUACGGACCUCUGCGACGAAUUUCCUUGAAUGAUGUAGCAGCACCUGAUUCUUCAAACACAGUUUCAUUUAUGCUAUGAAAAAUAAGAUUGAUAAAUAAAACUUUCGGCUACAAUGAGCCACAUAAACAUAAAGCUGUGACAGGAAAACAAAAGCUAACAGAUAAUUAACUAUACAGUUUGUAAGCAAAAUACCAAAUAGCCCAUAAUCAAGAUCACAACUGAAGCAAACAAUAAUGUGUAGUUUAUCAUUUCCAACCAAAUAAUUCAAUAACAAAUAAGGUCAAAUGGCCAAAUAAUAUGUCCUUUCACAUAAAUAUUUACUCCUGAAUUUUUUGAAGGAUAAUGUUACCGCUUCUCUCCCACGUUUCACAAAAAUUCUUUUACAUAUUAUAUUUUUUUUACAUAUUCCUAUUGAAGAAUCUCAUUUGAGCAUUUUGUGGUCAAUUUGACUUGAAAGAAACGGCCAAACUUUCAAUAAGAAAGAAGCAAGAUGCCCAGUUUUUUUAACUGCUGUUUUUCUCUUCUUUUUUUUUCUUUAACUUGCUGUAAAUUGGAGAUGUUUUCCAUAACUACUUUGGCUUAUGUAAUUUACCUUCUCCCUAAAUGCAACCAUAAAUCAAACAAACUAGAUGAAUAAAUUUACACCACAGAAAUCCAUCCUAUGAAGACUACAGCGGAGAAAGACGGGAUAAGGAUAAAGCAUAGGAAGAGCAAAUACCCCAUGGGAAGUAAACUGAUAAAAAAUACUUUGUCUUGAGAGUAAUAUAUCCCGAACCAAUUUUCUGCCAGCCAUUAAGAUUUACCCACUGCAACUCUGCACACAAAUAUUUUCUUAUAAACAAUAAUUAACACAAUCUAAUUGGUAUCUUAUGGAUAUAAAAGACAGCAUGGAUCCAUAUUGAAAGGAUUUCAAAUUAGUCUACGAACAAAGAAUUUGGAAGGAUUUGUGAUCAACUAAGGAGCUCUCGACUUUCUUCGCUGGAAUUUACCUUCCUUGGGUACUUAUCGACCAGAGACUGGAAGUAAUUGUGCUCUUCGUCCAUAGUAGUCAUCCAACCAGCAAGGGAAAGACCACGACGCGCAGUGGAAUAGGAAAAAGAGCGUCGAGCACAGCCUUCGUGUCACCAGCAAUCGUUUUUCCUUUAUUGGUAGACCGAAAAGGCUUUGUCAAGCAGGCAGGCAUGAUUGUCACUCGAUCGACAGUUGAGAAAUCCAGCGCUGUUAGGGCCGGGAGAAGAAGAUGGCCGUGAAUCGCGAUUUUGAGGAAGACGAAGAAGAUAAGAGAAGGGGAGAGGACGAGAAAGUAGAGAGAGAGCCGUUAGAGAAGAAGUAGGGAAGAAAUUCUUUUAUUUAAAAUUCAAUUGCAUUAUUUAUUUAUUUAUUUAAUUUCUUUUUAUUUAUUUAUUUAAUUUAAAUAAUAUACAUAAAUUUGCAAAAUGGAAUAUAUAGUUAUAUUACUUAUUAUAGAAUACAAAAUGAAAAUAGUGAUUAGUAGUGAUUAGAAGAAAUGUCUAAAAUAAACAAAAAUAAUAAAUAUUCAAAAAAGAUAUUCUUUUUUUAUUUAAAUAAUACGGAAGGCUAGUACCCUUCGGGAAGUGAUUGGUCUGUCAUAUGCUAUAAACGGGAUUAAACUCCAUUUCUCAUACUUUCACUCAUUGAUUAACUCAUUGUUAAGAUUAGGUUAGGUAUAUUUCGAUUUCACACUAAGCCAAGAAAUUCAAGAACGAUAAACUUUAAAAUUUGGGGAUAGGGAUCAACAAGUUAUUGAAAUUUUUUUCCUCGCCAAGUAGAAUUGCUUUAUCAAUGAUUCGGUGAAUGUAUCUAUGUUCAGUUCGUGUGUGUACAUGUAUGAGUCAAAUUCAUUUCGUUAGGAUGGGGAUCAUCAAUUUAAUUAGGGAUCGGUCUUAUGAUGAAACAAUUCAUUGCAUUGAUUAAAUCCAAUAUAAAAAACCAUUUUACCUAUACUCAAUAGAUAAAUCCAGUUCCUCAAUGAGCCCUAAGCCCUAAGCACUAAGCCCUAAGCCCUAAAAGCCCUAAGCCCUAAGCCCUAAAAGCCCUAAGCCUUAAGCCCUAAGCCCUAAAAGCCCUAAGUCCUAAGUCCUAAGCGCCCUAAGCGCUGUAAAAGCCCUAAAAGCCCAAAGCCCAAGCCCUAAAAGCACAAGCCCUAAACCCUAAAAUCCCAAAAGCCCAAAGCACAAGCCCUAGAAGCCCAAACCCUAAUUCCUAAAAGACCUAAAAGCCCUAAGCGCCCUAAGAGCCCAAAGCCCGAGCCCUAAAAGCCCAAUCCCUAAAAGCCCAAGCCCUAAAAGCCCAAGCCCUAAUCCCUAAGCACUAAGCCAAAGGCCCUAAGCCCCAAAAGCACCAAAAGCACCAAAAGCCCUAAGCCCUAAAAGCCCUAAAAGCCCUAAAAGCCCUAAGUCCUCCUAAAAGCGUUAAGCCCUAAAAGCACUAAGCCAUAAGCCUUAAAGCCUAAAAGCCCUAAGAGCCCUAAAAUCCCUAAAAGUCCUAAGCGCCCUAAACCCCUAAACCCUAAACACUAAAGCCAUAAGCCCUAAAAUCCCUAAGCCCAAGCCAUAAAAGCCCAAGCCCUAAGCCCUAAGCCCUAAGCGCCCUAAAAGCCCUAAAAGCCCUAAAAACUCUAAACCCUAAAAGCUAUAAGCCCUAAAAGCCCUAAGCCCUAAACGCCUUAAAAGCCAUAAACGCCUUAAGCGCCCUAAAAGCCAUAAAACGCCCAAGCCCUAAAGCCUGAGCCCUAAAAGCCAAAGCCCUAAGCCAUAAGCCCUAAGCCCUACAAGCCCUAAGCCCUAAGCAAUAAAAGCACAAGAACUAAGCCCUAAACCCUAAACCCUAAACCCAACCCUACCUAAGCCCUAAGCCCUAAGCCCUAAGCCUCAACCCUAAGGCCUAAGCCCUAAGGCCUCAGCCCUAAAAGCCCUAAAAGUCGUAAAAGCCGUAAAAGCCCUAAGCCCUACAACCUAAAAGCCCUAAGCGUCGUAAAAGCCCAAAAGCCCUAAACGCCCAAAGCCCAAGCCCUAAAAGCCCAAACCCUAAGCCCUAAGCCCUAAGCCCUAAAAGCCCUAAAAGCCCUAAGAGCAUUAAAAGUCCUAAAAGCCCAACGAGCCCAAAGCCCGAGCCCUAAAAGCCCAAGCCCUAAUCCGUAAGCCCUAAGCCAAACACCCUAAGCCCUAAAAGCCCUAAAAGCCCCAAAAGCCCUAAAAGCCCUAAAAGCCCCAAAGCACUAAAUGCCUAAAAGCCUAAAAUCCCAUAUCCCUAAAUACCUUAAAACCCUUAAAGCCCUAAGCCCUAAGCCCUAAAAGCGCUAAGCCUAAGCCAUAAUCCCUAAAAGCCCUAAGCCUAAACCUAAAAGCCCUAAGCCAUAAUCCCUAAAAGCCCUAAGCCCUAAAACCUAAAAGCCCUAAGCGCUCUAAAAGCCCCAAGCCCUAAGCGCACUAAAAGCCCAAAGCCCAAGCCCUAGGCCUAAAAGCCCUAAGCCCUAAAAGCCCAAAGCCCAAGCCUUAAAAGCCCAAACCCUAAGCCCUAAGCCCUAAGCCCUAAUCCCUAAAAUCCCUAAGCGCCCAAAAAGCCCUAAGAGCACUAAAAGUCCUAAAAGCCCAACGAGCCCAAAGCCCGAGCCCUAAAAGCCCAAGCCUAAUCCCUAAGCCCUACCCUAAUAGCCCUAAAAGCCAAAGCCCUAAAUGCCUUAAAAGCCCUAAACCCUAAACCCUAAACCUAAACCUAAACCCUAAACCUAAACCCUAAACCUAAACCCUAACCCUAAACCCUAAACCCUAAACCCUAAACCCUAAACCCUAAACCCUAAACCCUUUAAAGCCUAAGCAUAAUCCUAAAAGCCUAAGCCCUAAACCUAAAAGCCUAAGCGCCUAAAAGCCCAAGCGCCCUACACCCUAAACCCUAAACCUAAACCUAAACCUAAACCCUAAACCUAAACCCUAAACCCUAAACCCUAAACCCCUAAACCUAACCCUAAAAGUCAUAAGCCCUAAGUGCCCUAAGUGCCCUAAAAGCCCUAAACGUCUUAAGACCCUAGGCGCACUAAAAGCCCAAGCCCAAGCCCUAGGCCUAAAAGCCCUAAGCCCUAAAAGCCAAAGCCCAAGCCUUAAAAGCCAAACCCUAAGCCCUAAAGCCCUAAGCCCUAAUCCCUAAAAUCCCUAAGCGCCCAAAAGCCCUAAGAGCACUAAAAGUCCUAAAAGCCAACGUACCCAAAACCCGAGCCAAAAAGCCCAAGCCUAAUCCCUAAGCCUAAGCCAAACACCCUAAGCCCUAAAGCCUAAAAGCCCAAAAGCCCUAAAUGCCCUAAGCCCUAAAAUCCCAUAUCUAAAUACCCUUAAAACCCUUAAAGCCCUAAGCCCUAAAAGCGCUAAGCCCUAAGCCAUAAUCCCUAAAAGCCCUAAGCCCUAAAACUAAAAGCCCUAAGCCAUAAUCCCUAAAAGCCCUAAGCCAUAAAACUAAAAGCCCUAAGCGCUCUAAAAGCCCAAGCGCCUACACCCUAAACCCUAAACCCUAAACCUAAACCCUAAACCCUAAGCCCUACGCCCCUAAACCCUAAACCCUAAAAGUCAUAAGCCCUAAGCCAUAAGUGCCCUAAAAGCCCUAAACGUCUUAAGCACCCUAGGCGCACUAAAAGCCCAAAGCCCAAGCCCUAGGCCUAAAAGCCCUAAGGCCUAAAAGCCCAAAGCCCUAAAAGCCAAAGCCCUAAGCGCACUAAAAGCCCCAAGCCUAAGCCGCACUAAAAGCCAAAGCCCAAGCCUAGGCCUAAAAGCCCUAAGCCUAAAGCCCAAAGCCCAAGCCUUAAAAGCCAAACCCUAGCCUAAGCCUAAGCCUAAUCCCUAAAAUCCCUAAGCCGCCCAAAGCCCUAAGAGCACUAAAGUCCUAAAAGCCCAACGAGCCAAAGCCCGAGCCCUAAAAGCCAAGCCUAAUCCCUAAGCCCUAAGCCUAAUAGCCCUAAAAGCCCAAAAGCCUAAAUGCCUUAAAAGCCCUAAACCCUAAACCCUAAACCCUAAACCCUAAACCCUAAACCCUUAAAGCCCUAAGCCAUAAUCCCUAAAAGCCCUAAGCCCUAAAACCUAAAAGCCCUAAGCGCCCUAAAAGCCCCAAGCGCCCUACACCCUAAACCCCUAAACCCUAAACCCUAAACCCUAAACCCUAAACCCUAAACCCUAAACCCUAAACCCUAAACCCUAAACCUAAACCGUAAAAGUCAUAAGCCCUAAGUGCCCUAAGUGCCUAAAGCCCUAAACGUCUUAAGCACCCUAGGCGCACUAAAAGCCCAAAGCCCAAGCCCUAGGCCUAAAAGCCCUAAGCCCUAAAAAGCCCAAAGCCCAAGCCUUAAAAGCCCAAACCUAAGCCCCUAAGCCCUAAGCCCUAAUCCCUAAAAUCCCUAAGCGCCCAAAAAGCCCUAAGAGCACAAAAGUCCUAAAAGCCCACGUACCCAAAACCCGAGCCCAAAAAGCCCAAGCCCUAAUCCUAAGCCCUAAGCCAAACACCUAAGCCCUAAAAGCCCUAAAAGCCCCAAAAGCCCUAAAUGCCCUAAAAGCCUAAAAUCCAUAUCCCUAAAUACCCUUAAAACCCUUAAAGCCCUAAGCCUAAAAGCGCUAAGCCCUAAGCCAUAAUCCCUAAAAGCCCUAAGCCCUAAAACCUAAAAGCCCUAAGCAUAAUCCCUAAAAGCCCUAAGCCAUAAAACCUAAAAGCCCUAAGCGCUCUAAAAGCCCCAAGCGCCCUACACCCUAAACCCCUAAACCCUAAACCCUAAACCCUAAACCCUAAGCCCUAAGCCCCUAAACCCUAAACCCUAAAAGUCAUAAGCCCUAAGUGCCAUAAGUGCCCUAAAAGCCCUAAACGUCUUAAGCACCCUAGGCGCACUAAAAGCCCAAAGCCCAAGCCCUAGGCCUAAAAGCCCUAAGGCCUAAAAGCCCAAAGCCCUAAAAGCCCAAAGCCCAAGCCUUAAAAGCCCAAGCCUUAAAAGCCCAAACCCUAAGCCCUAAGCCUAAGCCCUAAUCCCUAAAAUACCUAAGCGCCCAAAAAGCCCUAAGAGCACUAAAAGUCCUAAAAGCCCAACGAGCCCAAAGCCCGAGCCCUAAAAGCCCAAGCCCUAAUCCGUAAGCCCUAAGCCAAACACCCUAAGCCCUAAUAGCCCUAAAAGCCCCAAAAGCCCUAAAUGCCUUAAAAGCCCUAAAAUCCCAUAUCCCUAAAUACCCUUAAAACCCUUAAAGCCCUAAGCCCUAAGCCCUAAAAGCGCUAAGCCAACCCUAAACCCUAAAAGCCCUAAGCCCUAAAACCUAAAAGCCCUAAGCCAUAAUCCCUAAAAGCCCUAAGCCCUAAAACCUAAAAAGCCCUAAGCGCCCUAAAAGCCCUAAAAGCCCUACACCCUAAACCCCUAAACCCUAAACCCUAAACCUAAAAGUCAUAAGCCCUAAGUGCCCUAAGUGCCCUAAAAGCCUAAACGUCUUAAGCAUCCUAGGCGCACUAAAACCCAAAGCCCAAGCCCUAGGCCUAAAAGCCUAAGCCCUAAAGCACUAAGCCCUAAGCCCUAAAAGCGCUAACCCUAGGCCUAAAAGCCGUAAGCCCUAAAAGCGCUAAGCCCUAAGCCAUAAUCCCUAAAAGCCCUAAGCCAUAAUCCCUAAAAGCCCUAAGCCAUAAUCCCUAAAAGCCCUAAGCCCUAAAACCUAAAAGCCCUAAGUCAUAAUCCCUAAAAGCCCUAAGCCCUAAAACGUAAAAGCCCUAAGCGCCCUAAAAGCCCCAAGCGCCCUACACCCUAAACCCCUAAACCCUAAACCCUAAACCCUAAACCCUAAACCCCUAAACCCUAAACCCUAAAAGUCAUAAGCCCUAAGUGCCCUAAGUGCCCUAAAAGCCCUAAACGUCUUAAGCACCCUAGGCGCACUAAAAGCCCAAAGCCCGAGCCCUAGGCCUAAAAGCCCUAAGCCCUAAAAGCCCAAAGCCCAAGCCUUAAAAGCCCAACCCUAAGCCCUAAGCCCUAAAGCCAAUCUCCUAAAAUCCCUAAGCGCCCAAAAGCCCUAAGAGCACUAAAAGUCCUAAAAGCCCAACGAGCCAAAGCCGAGCACUAAAAGCCCCAACCCUAAUCCGUAAGCCCUAAGCCAAACACCCUAAGCCCUAAAAGCCCCAAAAGCCCUAAAUGCCCUAAAAGCCCUAAAAUCCCAUAUCCCUAAAUACCCUUAAAACCUUAAAGCCCUAAGCCCUAAGCCUAAAAGCCCUAAAGCCCUAAGCCAUAAUCCCUAAAAGCCCUAAAGCCAUAAUCCCUAAAAGCCCUAAGCCCUAAAACCUAAAAGCCCUAAGCCAUAAUCCCUAAAAGCCCUAAGCCCUAAAACCUAAAAAGCCCUAAGCGCCCUAAAGCCCUAAAAGCCCUACACCCUAAACCCCUAAACCUAAACCCUAAACCCGUAAACCCUAAACACUAAAAGUCAUAAGCCCUAAGUGCGCUAGAAGCCCUAAACGUCUUAGCACCCUAGUGCGCACUAAAAAGCCAAAGCCCAAGCCCUAGGCCUAAAGCCCUAAGGCCUAAAGCCCAAAGCCCUAAAAGCCAAAGCCCAAGCCUUAAAAGCCCAAGCCUUAAAAGCCCAAACCUAAGCCUAAGCCCUAAUCCCUAAAUACCUAAGCGCCCAAAAAGCCCUAAGAGCACUAAAAGUCCUAAAAGCCCAACGAGCCCAAAGCCGAGCCCAAAAAGCCCAAGCCCUAAUCGUAAGCCCUAAGCCAAACACCCUAAGCCCUAAUAGCCCUAAAACCCCAAAAGCCCUAAAUGCCUUAAAAGCCCUAAAAUCCCAUAUCCCUAAAUACCCUUAAAACCCUUAAAGCCCUAAGCCCUAAGCCCUAAAAGCGCUAAGCCCUAAACCUAAACCCUAAAAGCCCUAAGCCCUAAAACCUAAAAGCCCUAAGCCAUAAUCCCUAAAAGCCCUAAGCCCUAAAACCUAAAAGCCCUAAGCGCCCUAAAAGCCCUAAAAGCCCUACACCCUAAACCCCUAAACCCUAAACCCUAAACCCCUAAACCCUAAACCCUAAAAGUCAUAAGCCCUAAGUGCCCUAAGUGCCCUAAAAGCCCUAAACGUCUUAGCAUCCUAGGCGCACUAAAAGCCCAAAGCCCAAGCCCUAGGCCUAAAAGCCUAAGCCCUAAAAGCACUAAGCCCUAAGCCCUAAAAGCGCUAAGCCUAGGCCUAAAAGCCGUAAACCCUAAAAGCGCUAAGCCUAAGCCAUAAUCCCUAAAAGCCCUAAGCCAUAAUCCCUAAAAGCCCUAAGCGCCUAAAACCUAAAAAGCCCUAAGCGCCCUAAAAGCCCUAAAAGCCCUAAGCGCCCUACACCCUAAACCCCUAAACCCUAAACCCUAAACCCCUAAACCUAAACCCUAAAAGUCAUAAGCCCUAAGUGCCCUAAGUGCCCCAAAAGCCCUAAACGUCUUAAGCACCCUGAGCGCACUAAAAGCCCAAAGCCCAAGCCCUAGCCUAAAAGCCCUAAGCCUAAACGCCCAAAGCCCAAGCCUUAAAAGCCCAAACCCUAACCCUAAGCCCUAAGCCUAAUCCCUAAAAUCCCUAAGCGCCCAAAAAGCCCUAAGAGCACUAAAAGUCCUAAAAGCCCAACGAGCCCAAAGCCCGAGCCCUAAAAGCCCAAGCCUAAUCCCUAAGCCUAAGCCAAACACCCUAAGCCCUAAAAGCCCUAAAAGCCCAAAAGCCCUAAAUGCCCUAAAAGCCCUAAAAUCCCUUAUCCUAAAUACCCUUAAAACCCUUAAAGCCCUAAGCCCUAAGCCCUAACCUAAAAGCGCUAAGCCCUAAGCCAUAAUCCCUAAAAGCCCUAAGCCUAAAACCUAAAAGCCCUAAGCCAUAAGCCCUAAAACCUAAAACCCUAAGCCCUAAAACCUAAAAGCCUUAAGCCAUAAGCCCUAAAAACCCUAAGCCCUAAAACCUAAAAACCCUAAGCCCUAAAACCUAAAAGCCCUAAGCGCCCUAAAACCUAAAAGCCCUAAGCGCCCUAAAACCUAAAAAGCCCUAAGCGCCUAAAAGCCCUAAAAGCGCUAAAAGCCUAGCCAUAAGCCCAAAAAGCCCUAAAAGCCCUAAGCCCGAAAAACCCAAACCCAUAACCACUUGUAGCCUAGUUUCUUCAUGGAAGAUUGCUUGCAAAGAUCCCAAGCCCUAAACCCUAAACCCUAAACCCUAAACCCUAAGCCCUAAAACCUAAAAGCCCUAAGCGCCCUAAAAGCCCCAAGCGCCCUACACCCUAAACCCCUAAACCCUAAACCCCUAAACCCUAAACCCUAAACCCUAAACCCUAAACCCUAAACCCCUAAACCCUAAAAGUCAUAAGCCCUAAGUGCCCUAAGUGCCCUAAAAGCCCUAAACGUCUUAAGCACCCUAGGCGCACUAAAAGCCCAAAGCCCGAGCCCUAGGCCUAAAAGCCCUAAGCCCUAAAAGCCCAAAGCCCAAGCCUUAAAAGCCCAAAACCCUAAGCCCUAAGCCCUAAGCCCUAAAUCCCUAAAAUCCCUAAGCGCCCAAAAAGCCCUAAGAGCACUAAAAGUCCUAAAAGCCAACGAGCCAAAGCCCGAGCCCUAAAAGCCCGAGCCCUAAUCCGUAAGCCCUAAGCCAAACACCCUAAGCCCUAAAAGCCCCAAAAGCCCUAAAUGCCCUAAAAGCCCUAAAAUCCCAUAUCCCUAAAUACCCUUAAAACCCUUAAAGGCCUAAGCCCUAAGCACUAAAAGCGCUAAGCCCUAAGCCAUAAUCCCUAAAAGCCCUAAGCCCUAAAACCUAAAAGCCCUAAGCCAAUCCCUAAAAGCCCUAAGCCUAAAACCUAAAAGUCCUAUGCGCCCUAAAAGCCUAAAAGCCCUAAGCGCCCUACACCCUAAACCCCUAAACCCUAAACCCUAAACCCUAAACCCUAAACCCUAAAAGUCAUAAGCCCUAAGUGCCUAAGUGCCUAAAAGCCCUAAACGUCUUAAGCACCCUAGGCGCACUAAAAGCCCAAAGCCCAAGCCUAGGCCUAAAAGCCCUAAGCCCUAAAAGCCAAAGCCCAAGCCUUAAAAGCCCAAACCCUAAGCCCUAAGCCCUAAGCCCUAAUCCCUAAAAUCCCUAAGCGCCCAAAAGCCCUAAGAGCAAAAAGUCCUAAAAGUCCAACGAGCCCAAAGCCCGAGCCCUAAACGCCUGAGCCUAAUCCAAACACCCUAAGCCCUAAAAGCCCUAAAAGCCCCAAAAGCCCUAAAUGCCCUAAAAGCCCUAAAAUCCAUAUCCCUAAAUACCCUUAAACCCUUAAAGCCCUAAGCCCUAAAAGCGCUAAGCCCUUAGCCAUAAUCCCUAAAAGCCCUAAGCCCUAAAAACUAAAAGCCCUAAGCCAUAAUCCCUAAAAGCCCUAAGCCCUAAAACCUAAAAGCCCUAUGCGCCCUAAAAGCCCUAAAAGCCUAUAGCGCCCUACACCCUAAACCCCUAAACCCUAAACCCUAAACCCCUAAACCCUAAACACUAAAGUCAUAAGCCCUAAGUGCCCUAAGUGCCCUAAAAGCCCUAAACGUCUUAAGCAUCCUAGGCGCACUAAAAGCCCAAAGCCAAGCCCUAGGCCUAAAAGCGUAAGCCCUAAAAGCCAAAGCCCAAGCCUUAUAAAGCCCAAACCCUAAGCCCUAAGCCCUAAGCCUAAUCCCUAAGCGCCCAAAAGCCCUAACAGCACUAAAAGUCCUAAAAGCCCAACGAGCCCAAAGCCCGACCCCUAAAAGCCCAAUCCUAAUCCCUAAGCCUAAGCCAAACACCCCAAGCCCUAAAAGCCCUAAAAGCCCCAAAAGCCCUAAAAUGCCCUAAGAGCGCCUAAAAUCCCAUAUCCCUAAAUACCCUUAAAACCCUUAAAGGCCCUAAGCCCUAAGCCAUAAUCCCUAAAAGCCCUAAGCCCUAAAACCUAAAAGCCCUAAGCCAUAAUCCUAAAACCCUAAGCCCUAAAACCUAAAAGCCCUAAGCAUAAUCCCUAAAAAGCCCUAAGCCCUAAAACCUAAAAGCCCUAAGCGCCCUAAAAAGCCCUAAAAGCCCUACACCCUAAACCCCUAAACCUAAACCCUAAACCCCUAAACCCUAAACCCUAAACCCUAAACCCUAAAAGUCAUAAGCCCUAAGUGCCCUAAGUGCCCUAAAAGCCUCUAAACGUCUUAAGCAUCCUAGGCGCACUAAAAGCCCAAAGCCCAAGCCCUAGGCCUAAAACCUAAGCCCUAAAAGCACUAAGCCCUAAGCCCUAAAAGCGCUAAGCCCUAGCCUAAAAGCCGUAAGCCCUAAAAGCGCUAAGCCUAAGCCAUAAUCCCUAAAAGCCCUAAGCCAUAAUCCCUAAAAGCCUAAGCCCUAAAACCUAAAAGCCCUAAGCCAUAAUCCCUAAAAGCCCUAAGCCCUAAAACCUAAAAGCCCUAAGUGCCCUAAAAGCCCCAAGCGCCCUACACCCUAAACCCCUAAACCCUACACCCUAAACCCCUAAACCCUAAACCCUAAACCCUAAACCUAAAACCCUAAACCCUAAACCCUAAAAGUAAGCCCUAAGUGCCUAAGUGCCCUAAAAGCCCUAAACGUCUUAAGCACCCUAGGCGCACUAAAGCACAAAGCCCAAGCCCUAGGCCUAAAAGCCCUAAGCCCUAAAAGCCCAAACCCUAAGCCCUAAGCCCUAAGCCCUAAUCCCUAAAAUCCCUAAGCGCCAAAAAGCCCUAAGAGCACUAAAAGUCCUAAAAGCCCAACGAGCCAAAGCCCGAGCCCUAAAAGCCAAGCCCUAAUCCGUAAGCCCUAAGCCAAACACCUAAGCCCUAAAAGACCUAAAAGCCCCAAAAGCCCUAAAUGCCCUAAAAGCCCUAAAAUCCCAUAUCCCUAAAUACCUUAAAACCCUUAAAGCCUAAGCCCUAAAAGCGCUAAGCCUAAGCCAUAAUCCCUAAAAGCCCUAAGCCAUAAUCCCUAAAAGCCCUAAGCCCUAAAACCUAAAAGCCCUAAGCCAUAAUCCCUAAAAGCCCUAAGCCCUAAAACCUAAAAGCCCUAAGCGCCCUAAAAGCCCUAAAAGCCCUAAGCGCCUACACCCUAAACCCCUAAACCCUAAACCUAAACCCUAAACCCUAAACACUAAAGUCAUAAGCCCUAAGUGCCCUAAGUGCCCUAAAAGCCCUAAACGUAUUAAGCCGACCUAGGCGCACUAAAAGCCCAAAGCCCAAGCCCUAGGCCUAAAAGCCCUAAGCCUAAAAGCCAAAGCCCAAGCCUUAAAAGCCCAAACCCUAAGCCUAAGCCCUAAGCCCUAAUCCCUAAAAUCCCUAAGCGCCAAAAAGCCCUAAGAGCACUAAAAGUCCUAAAAGACCAACGAGCCCAAAACCCGAGCCCUAAAAGCCCAAGCCCUAAUCCCUAAGCCUAAGCCAAACACUAAGCCUAAAAGCCCUAAGCCCAAAAGCCUAAAUGCCCUAAAAGCCCUAAAAUCCCAUAUCCCUAAAUACCCUUAAAACCCUUAAAGCCCUUAGCCCUAAAAGCUUAAAGCCCUAAGCCAUAAUCCCUAAAAGCCCUAAGCCCUAAAACCUAAAAGCCCUAAGCCAUAAUCCCUAAAAGCCCUAAGCCCUAAAACCUAAAAGCCCUAAGCGCCCUAAAAGCCCUAAAAGCCCUAAGCGCCCUACACCCUAAACCCCUAAACCCUAAACCCUAAACCCUAAACCCUAAACACUAAAAGUCAUAAGCCCUAAGUGCCCUAAAAGCCCUAAACGUAUUAAGGACCCUAGGCGCACUAAAAGCCCUAAGCCCUAAUCCCUAAAAUCCCUAAGCGCCCAAAAAGCCCUAAGAGCACUAAAAGUCCUAAAAGCCCAAGCCUUAAAAGCCCAAACCCUAAGUACCCUAAGCCCUAAGCCCUAAUCCCUAAGCCCUAAGCCAAACACCCUAAGCCCUAAAAGCCCUAAAAGCCCUAAAAGCCCUAAAAGCCCCAAGAGCCCUAAAUGCCCUAAAAUCCCAUAUCCCUAAAUACCCUUAAAACCCUUAAAGCCCUAAGCCCUAAAAGGGCUAAGCCCUAAGCCCUAAAACCUAAAAGCCCUAAGCCAUAAUCCCUAAAAGCCCUAAGCCCUAAAACCUAAAAGCCCUGAUCACCCUAAAAGCCCUAAGCGCCCUACACCCUAAACCCCUAAACCCUAAACCCUAAACCCGUAAACCCUAAACACUAAAAGUCAUAAGCCCUAAGUGCCCUAAGUGCCCUAAAAGCCCUAAACGUCUUAAGAACCCUAGGCGCACUAAAAGCCCUAAGCCCAAGCCCUAGGCCUAAAAGCCCUCAACAUUAAAAGCUCAAAGCCCAAGCCUUAAAAGCCCAAACCCUAAGCCCUAAGCCCUAAGCCCUAAUCCCUAAAAUCCCUAAGCGCCCAAAAAGCCCUAAGAGCACUAAAAGUCCUAAAAGCCCAACGAGCCCAAAGCCCGAGCCCUAAAAGCCAAGCCCUAAGCCAAACACCCUAAGCCCUAAAAGCCCUAAAAGCCCCAAAAGCCCUAAAUGCCCUAAAAGCCCUAAAAUCCCAUAUCCCUAAAUACCCUUAAAACCCUUAAAGCCCUAAGCCCUAAAAGCGCUAAGCCCUAAGCCAUAAUCCUAAAAGCCCUAAGCCCUAAAACCUAAAAGCCCUAAGCCAUAAUCCCUAAAAGCCCUAAGCCCUAAAACCUAAAAGUCCUAUGCGCCUAAAAGCCCUAAAAGCCCUAAGCGCCCUACACCCUAAACCCCUAAACCCUAAACCCUAAACCCCUAAACCCUAAACACUAAAAGUCAUAAGCCCUAAGUGCCCUAAGUGCCCUAAAAGCCUAAACGUCUUAAGCACCCUAGGCGCACUAAAAGACCAAAGCCCAAGCCCUAGGCCUAAAAGCCCUAAGCCCUAAAAGCCCAAAGCCCAAGCCUUAAAAGCCCAAACCCUAAGCCCUAAGCCCUAAGCCCUAAUCCCUAAGCGCCCAAAAAGCCCUAAGAGCACUAAAAGUCCUAAAAGCCCAACGAGCCCAAAGCCCGACCCCUAAAAGCCGAAGCCCUAAUCCCUAAGCCCUAAGCCAAACACCCUAAGCCCUAAAAGCCCUAAAAGCCCCAAAAGCCCUAAAUGCCCUAAAAGCCCUAAAAUCCCAUAUCCCUAAAUACCCUUAAAACCCUUAAAGCCCUAAGCCCUAAAAGCGCUAAGCCCUAAGCCCUAAAACCUAAAAGCCCUGAUCACCAUAAAAGCCCUAAGCGCCCUAAACCCUAAACCCCUAAACCCGUAAACCCUAAACACUAAAAGUCAUAAGCCCUAAGUGCCCUAAGUGCCCUAAAAGCCCUAAACGUCUUAAGCACCCUAGGCGCACUAAAAGCCCUAAGCCCAAGCCCUAGGCCUAAAAGCCCUAAGCCCUAAAAGCUCAAAGCCCAAGCCUUAAAAGCCCAAACCCUAAGCCCUAAGCCCUAAGCCCUAAUCCCUAAAAUCCCUAAGCGCCCAAAAAGCCCUAAGAGCACUAAAAGUCCUAAAAGCCCAACGAGCCCAAAGCCCGAGCCCUAAAAGCCCAAGCCCUAAGCCAAACACCCUAAGCCCUAAAAGCCCUAAAAGCCCCAAAAGCCCUAAAUGUCCUAAAAGCCCUAAAAUCCCAUAUCCCUAAAUACCCUUAAAACCCUUAAAGCCCUAAGCCCUAAAAGCGCUAAGCCCUAAGCCAUAAUCCCUAAAAGCCCUAAGCCCUAAAACCUAAAAGCCCUAAGCCAUAAUCCCUAAAAGCCCUAAGCCCUAAAACCUAAAAGUCCUAUGCGCCCUAAAAGCCCUAAAAGCCCUAAGCGCCCUACACCCUAAACCCCUAAACCCUAAACCCUAAACCCCUAAACCCUAAACACUAAAAGUCAUAAGCCCUAAGUGCCCUAAGUGCCCUAAAAGCCCUAAACGUCUUAAGCACCCUAGGCGCACUAAAAGCCCAAAGCCCAAGCCCUAGGCCUAAAAGCCCUAAGCCCUAAAAGCCCAAAGCCCAAGCCUUAAAAGCCCAAACCCUAAGCCCUAAGCCCUAAGCCCUAAUCCCUAAAAUCCCUAAGCGCCCAAAAAGCCCUAAGAGCACUAAUAGUCCUAAAAGCCCAACGAGCCCAAAGCCCGACCCCUAAAAGCCCAAGCCCUAAUCCCUAAGCCCUAAGCCAAACACCCUAAGCCCUAAAAGCCCUAAAAUCCCCAAAAGCCCUAAAUGCCCUAAAAGCCCUAAAAUCCCAUAUCCCUAAAUACCCUUAAAACCCUUAAAGCCCUAAGCCCUAAGCCCUAAAAGCGCUAAGCCCUAAGCCAUAAUCCCUAAAAGCCCUAAGCCCUAAAACCUAAAAGCCCUAAGCCAUAAUCCCUAAAAGCCCUAAGCCCUAAAACCUAAAAGCCCUAAGCGCCCUAAAAGCCCUAAAAGCCCUAAGCGCCCUACACCCUAAACCCCUAAACCCUAAACCCUAAACCCCUAAACCCUAAACCCUAAAAGUCAUAAGCCCUAAGUGCCCUAAGUGCCCUAAGUGCCCCAAAAGCCCUAAACGUCUUAAGCACCCUAGGCCUAAAAGCCCUAAGCCCUAAAAGCCCAAAGCCCAAGCCUUAAAAGCCCAAACCCUAAGCCCUAAGCCCUAAGCCCUAAUCCCUAAAAUCCCUAAGCGCCCAAAAAGCCCUAAGAGCACUAAAAGUCCUAAAAGCCCAACGAGCCCAAAGCCCGAGCCCUAAAAGCCCAAGCCCUAAUCCCUAAGCCCUAAGCCAAACACCCUAAGCUUUAAAAGCCCUAAAAGCCCCAAAAGCCCUAAAUGCCCUAAAAGCCCUAAAAUCCCUUAUCCCUAAAUACCCUUAAAACCCUUAAAGCCCUAAGCCCUAAGCCCUAAGCCCUAAGCCCUAAAAGCGCUAAGCCCUAAGCCAUAAUCCCUAAAAGCCCUAAGCCCUAAAACCUAAAAGCCCUAAGCCAUAAGCCCUAAAACCUAAAAACCCUAAGCCCUAAAACCUAAAAGCCCUAAGCCAUAAGCCCUAAAAACCCUAAGCCCUAAAACCUAAAAACCCUAAGCCCUAAAACCUAAAAGCCCUAAGCGCCCUAAAACCUAAAAGCCCUAAGCGCCCUAAAACCUAAAAGCCCUAAGCGCCCUAAAAGCCCUAAAAGCGCUAAAAGCCCUAAGCCAUAAGCCCAAAAAGCCCUAAAAGCCCUAAGCCCUAAAAACCCAAACCCCAAACCACUUGUAGCCUAGUUUCUUCAUGGAAGAUUGCUUGCAAAGAUCCCAAGUUUGGUUAUAUUUCAUUUCCUUUUAUUCCUACAAAAAGAAAA